rnacentral:lncRNA from 1 species
UUCGUCUGCGUUUUCCUCUACACUGUGGGAAUCUUCCUCCGGUUUUUGCUGCUCAUUCUUCUUCCCACGGCUCCUCUUCCUUACCCUCUUCUUCAGCUCUUCAACGGAUGUCUUGUCCGAUUCAACCAUGUUUCCUCUUUCUCAAACCAAUCAAUUCUGCAGUAAAAUUACAGAAAUCUAUGAAUAGAAAAACAACAAAUUUGAGAGUAAACAGAGCAAUACCAAAGAAAAACCCUAACUUUUCGAUUCUCAAAUCCAAAAAUUUACGAUUAUAUACAAAGCAAUCUAGGUAAAGUUUCUCGGAGCCGUGUAUUGCAACUCGAUUUCAUUUAGGAUACAGACAUUCGAAAAGGAACAAACAAUUGAAGAGAACCCGUAAUUAAAAAAAAAAAAAACUUACUUUUAGAAACGAAGCCACUUGAAGGAUGCGAGAGAGCUCAGAGAAUCGAAGAAAUUUGCUUUUGAAGAAGUUGAGAGAGUGAUAACGCGGCGCGGAGACAAGGUUUUAGGGUUUAACAAGAAGUUGUAACCUUUUAUUUAUUUAUUAAAUUCAUUAUAUUCCUGAUUUAGUAAUUCGUAUAAAGUCGGCAAAUAAUCUUAUAAGUUAUAAAUGAGUCUGUACUUGUAUAAAAUGCGCAAAAUUUAGAUUUGUUUUUAUUUUAUGAUGUGUUUUCCAUUUUUAUCAGUAAUAAUUUUUUUUAAAAGUAAUUGAUUCUUUGCGCUCAAGAAUUAGUCUCAAUGAUUAUUAUUUUGAAAUGUAUCUUAACCAAAUUCCUAACAUUUUCUCAAACACGUGAUCUGUCCAGAAAGUGUUAGUCAAAACUUUGGCAAGGGCAAUGGAACAUACAGAGAAUGAUACAAGAGAUUUUAAAUUGUGUAAAAGCCCUACUCUAAGCAGGGCUGAUAGCAGUGAACCAUUAAUGAAGUUAAGGGAUUUGUUCCAAAAUUUGAGCAGCAAAGUAAAGUGCUCUUAAGUUUAAGAAAAAAACCAACACAAAAUAUCUUGAGAAGAGUACAACUCCAUCACAUAAAGCUUAAUGCUUUUCUCAAUAGAAAACAAAAGAAACUAGGCCAAAAAAGCUACUAUAAGAUAGAACAAGAGACAAGAGCCCUCUCCAACAAAAAAAAAAAGCUUCUUCUAGUCUUCAUCUUUAAAGACCGUCUUCUUCCCUGCAAGACCAUACAAAACACAAGUUUAUAACAACACUAAUUCUAAGAAAAGGGGAAGAGGAGAGAAGAAGAAACAAACCUAGAGCUGAUUCAAUUACACUUGGUUUGCUGGGUCCUCUUCCACGCGUACUGAAACGGCCACGAGGUGCUCCUCUAUCUGAGGAACGGCCACGAGGUGCUCCUCUAUCUGAGGAACGGCCACGAGGUGCUCCUCUAUCUGAGUAACGUCCACGAGGUGCUCUACCAGGUGCUCUGUUUGAGGAACGCCCCUCAUCACUAUCUCUUGGUCUAGACUCUUCCACAUGUAUGUUCCAUCCUCCAAUUUCACUUCCCCUCAGUUGCAACGCCUCAUCGAAUCCACUCGUCAAAUCUAUGUAGGCCAACCUGAAAGAAUAACAAGAAAACUUCAAUGACCAUCUUUAUCAUCAUCAUCAUUAUCAUUCACAACGCAGGAAAGAAAAAAAAAAAGAAGAAGAGUUACAAACCCCCUGCAAGCACCAGUCUCACGAUCUGUUGGAACAUGAACCCUUGUCACCUCUCCGCAGUUACUAAAAAGACUUCUCAACUCUUUCUUGAUCUGAUCAUGAUCACAAAAUAUUUUUAAUGGUUUGAAUCAGAGAUUUAUUUACACAAAUAGCUAUUAUAACAUAUGUAAUAUUGGUUUAAAGAAAGUUGAGGACAAGAAUUUUACUUCAUCUUCGCCAAGAGAAGAAUUGAAUCCUCUAACAAAAAUCGUUCGACUUUGGCUUCCUUCUCCUUUGCGACCAGGAUUGCUGCAUAUAGUCCAACAAAAACCGAUAUUAGCCUGGAAACAAACAUACAUAAUCACAACAUGCUCAUAUGGCAAAGUAAGAAAGUACCUGUUUCGUUGACCCCUCUCGUUAGCAAGAUCAAGCCGAACAUCGCGCCCUAGUAACAUUUUACCGUUCAGUUCCAAUGCCUGCAUUCAAAACAUUCAAAAUGAAUCCAAUCAUCAUCGUAAUUUCAAUACCACUUCCAUGAUUCCAAAAUAACAAAUAUGAAGUUACCUUCUGAGCUUCUUCUGGAGAAGCAAAUUCAACAUGCCCAUAUCCCUUAAAUGUCCCAUCAUCAUAUGAAGAAAAUCUAACAUCAACAACUUCACCAGCUUCUUUGAAGAAAUUCUCUCUGUAUAUUGGGUUAUAAAUAUCAUACAACCAACAUUUUAUACGAAGAACCAGAGAAAAUGUUAUGAAAAAAUGUCAUUAUGCUUACAUGUCAGAUCUCUUAAUUUGAAAGGAAAGAUUUCCAGCAAAUAGCGUCUUUGAUCCUCCCUGAGUCUCAGUAGUUGGUGUCUUUGGCUGUAAUAUAUAUAUACAUAAAACGUUAUAACCAAAAAGACAUUAUAUAAAACGUGAUAAAUAACAACAAUAAUCAUGACUAAGGAAUAAAUUCGUAACAAAAUUUUACUGGAUAGAGUCUUUUACCUGCUUUGCAUUUGAUUUCUGCUCUGCAUCCACCAUUUCAAUAUCAGAGUCCUGAAAAGAUUAGAACAAAAAUUAUUAUCAAACAUUCUAUAGUGAACUAUUCUUCCUAGGGGAAAGCACAGAAAGGAAGUAACAUUAUUGGUACCUUUUUCUUUGGGGUCACUUUCUCUUCUUUACUCUCCUCCUUAUCAGAUUCAUCACUAGAUUCCUCACUAGAGCUUUCUUUUUUAGAUGUUUUUGUUAAUGAAACUUUAGCCUGCAAAAACAGUUUAAUUGUCACUUCUGCAGCAUAAACCUAAUAAAAACAGCUCGGAGGAAGAAGAUAACUACCUUCUUUGUAGGAGGUUUUUCAUCAUCACUUUCCUACAAGUGAGAAAAUAAUAUGGAAUAUUAAUUGUUUAGAAUAUAUAAACCUAUCACAAAUCAUUAAGAAGAUCCAAUCUUAAGAAAAAAAAAAUUAAAAGACACUAAAUAAUCAUGUUUUAAUUAGUAUAUAUGAAGAUCGGAAAUUGUUUCAAAACAAACCUCCUCAUCAGAAUCUUCCUCUGAGGAUGAUGAAUCUUUUGCAGCUGGUUUGAUAUUCUUAACAACUGUUGGCUUAAUGGCAGGUGUGAGCUCCUAAUUAUGUUUGAUAAAAAACGAAUCUCAAAGUAAGUAUAUAAUUUUACUUUAACAUUGGGCUAACAUGUAUAACGCAAGUCUUACCUCGUCCGAAGAAGAUUCCUCCUCUGAUGAACUGCUAUCUGCUUUGGUAUUCUUAAGGGCUGCGGGUUGCUUCUUCGCAGGGGCAGAUUCCUAGUAUGUUUUAUAAAAAUAAAAAAUUGAAAAUCAAACAGAUAAAGCAUAUGGAAUUCCUAAUUAUGUUUUAUACAAAAAAAAAUUCCAAAAUAAACAUAUGGAAUUCCUGCAACCUUAAGCUAACAAGUAAACCUAAAAUGUUUACCUCGUCAGAUGAAGAUCCAUCAUCUGAUGAACUGCUGUCUGCCUUGGCAUCCUUAAGAACUGUUGUUGUCUGCUUCUUCACAGCGGUUUCCUGAUAAAAUUUUAUCAAACACAAAUUUCAGAUUAAGCUUAUGACAUUCCUUUAACAUUGAGCUAACAUGUAAAGAUGCAACAUACCUCAUCUGAAGAAGAUUCACCCUCAGAUGAACUGUCUUUCUUAACAAUUGUAGGUUCCUUCUUUUCAGGGGCGGGUUCCUAAUCAUGUUUUUUUUAUAAAAAAUUAAGCAUAUGAUAUUAUGUUGUAACAUUGAGCUAACAUGUGUAAUGCGCAACUCAUACCUCGUCCGAAGAAGAUCCAUCAUCAGAUGAACUGCUUUCUGCCUUGGCCUUCUCUGGUGGUUGCUUCUUCACAGGGGCAGUUUCCUAAUAUUGUUUUACCAAAAACACAAAUUGCAAAGUAAGCUUACGAGAUUCCUCUAAGCUUGAGCUAACGUGUAAUGAUGAAGCAACUCAUACCUCGUCUGAAGAAGAAUCAUCAUCAGAUGAACUGCUCUCUACCUUGUCUUUCUUAAUAGGUUCUGGUUGCUUCUCAAGGACUGCUGCUGGUUGCUUCUUCACAGGGGCAGUUUCCUAAUAUUUACCAAAUACACAAAUUGCAAAGUAAGCUUACGAGAUUCCUCUAAGCUUAAGCUAACAUGUAAUGAAUAAGUAACUCAUACCUCGUCUGAAGAAGAAUCAUCAUCAGAUGAGCUGCUCUCUUCCUUGUCUUUCUUAAUAGUUUCUGGUUGCUUCUUCACAGGCGCAGGUUCCUAUAUAUAUAUAUAUAUAUAUAUAUAUAUAUAUAUAUAUAUAUAUAUAUAUAUAUAUAUAUGUAACAAAUCAAUUUCAAAGAUAACAUGUGGCAUUGCUUUAACAUUGAGAGAAUAUUUAUGACGCAAUUCCUACCUCAUCCGAAGAAGAGUCAUCAGAAGAAGAGUCACCCUUCUGCUUAGAAGGAGGUUCCUUUGCAAGGACUGUCUUAGUCUAUAAAAAUAAAAUUAAAGGGACAAAAUAUGAGUAUAGACAGAACAUAGUACAAAAUUUUAACUAGACGUAACUAAAUUUUGUCACUUUUUUUUGUCACAUUGCUCUAAACAAAUUAAACAACUGAGAUUGAAGUUAUACCUUCUGAUCAUCCUCAGAAUCAGAAGAAGCUGAUGAGUCAGAACUGCUACUCUCUACCUUCUUCGGUACCGUUUUCUCAGAUUUCUCCUUCUGAACAGCAUCAAUCAACUCUUUCUUCUGUUUCUUCGGAACUUGGAUGUCCAAAUCCUGUUCCGCAUCUCUCUUACCUAACACAAACAAAUUCAAAACAGAACAGAGUGUUGAGAACCUAGUUCUUGACAAGACAUAAACAAACUAAUUACAACACUCUCGUUCAACACAGUAUAAAACACUCCUUCAAUUAACAGCAAAAUUCCCAAAUCGUCCAAAGAUAUAAUCACACAAAGUCAAAUAAAAUCGAACCUUUCUUGAGUGGCUUUGUCAUUGAAGCAGGUGAUUCAACCUAGAAAACCAAAAGUAAAAAAACAGAGUUUUAUCUUCACAAACAAAACAGAGUAAUAAGAAGAAGAAGAAGAAGAUGGAGAAAGAUGACUACUUUGGUGGCGGAUUUUUUGCUAGACUUGCCCAUGGAUUCCGAUCACAAACGAGACUGGUGUAGCUAGGUUUACGAGAAGCUUGAAAGGUUUUCGCGUUUAGGGUUUUUACUUUUUACGGGAGAUUUGUAAUUUAUAGAUAGAGAGAUCUUUGGGUCUGAUUUUUGGGCAAUGAAGAGUCGGUCUCUUUAUUUUGUUUUUCCUUUUUUUUUCUUUAUACGUGAAACUUAAUCUAUACCGUCCACGUCACAAGCGAUUUGAUAACUUACCAUUUAUUUUGAUUUGCUAGACACUUGACUCACAAGUUUUAUCAAAUUUACAUGUGUCAAAUUUUUUUAUUUUUUAUUUUUUAUUUACACGAGUUAAAAUAAUAUUAAAAAGAAAAAAUUCCCGAAAAGUUAAAAUAUUUUCUCCUCCAACUUUUUUCGUUUCCACAUAAAAUCUCUAAAUUAAAAAAUUUUCUCAAUCAAAACUUUCAACCUUUUUUGUUCCCAAUUAAAACCUCCAACUAAUUAAUUUUCUCUAAGAAAACUUUUAAGUCGUCAAACUUAAACCUGAUCAAUAGUUGACCAAUGAUUGCUGAUAAUUUCGUUCGGAAUAGUUGAUAGUCGUUGACGACAUCUAUUUUUCAUUUAUUUAAUUUCCAAAAUUUUGUAUGAACCCUAAAAAUUAGAAAAAAAUGUAUUAUAGGGUUCGUAAUUAAUAUUUUCAUCUUUUCUAUUGUAACUAACACAUGUGAAUUUUGAAAGGAAAACAUGUUGUUAAAAGCCGUUUACCGUUAGUUAAUCAUUGAUCAAGCACAAAUUUGAUGACUUAGAUAUUUUUAGAUAAAAUUAAUUAGUUGGAGGUUUUAUAUGGAAACCGAAAAAGUUUGAGGUUUUAGUUGGAAAAGUGUUUUAAUUUGGAGUUUUUUUUUGUUAUAGGGGGACCAAAAAUAAGAAUAAAAUAAUGGGAGAGAUAUGCAAAUAAUAAGAAUUAAUCAUUUUUUCACCGCUGUGUUCAAAGCUUCUUCUCUUCUUCCUUACGUCCGAUCAAAAUUUGCCGGUGUUUACUGUUGCAAUCGCCGUCGUCAACGGUGGGUUUCGGUAGAUUGAUUUAUAGAAUUAGAGGGAUAAAAGAGAGGAGAUUUUUGAAUUUCUUUCUGAUGCAUAUCUGUGAAUAUUAAAGACGGUCAACGCAAAUUACUUGUGAAGAAUCGGAUGCUUUGUGUCGUGGUCAAGCUAUUUCGGAUUAAUCUGACAAAAAUCUGUCAGAUCUUUGUGUAAAGAUAGUAGCUUUCAGGGAGCUAAUAGUUCUGUUCGGUGCCCAAGAUUAGAGAUUUCGAAUGUUUUGACGGAUGAUUCAGCGAGACGUGUUUCAUCGAUUAGCAGAUGAUUGGUGGGGUUUCUUCUGAAAUUGAUACGUAUUCUAUUGGUUUAGGAUAUUCAAAGCUAGAGGAAAACAAGUUUUUGGUUGAUUCGUUUGAUUUCAUUUCAAUAAAGAAGAGCUUUUGGGUUUUCUUUGAGUUGGUGAUUGUUAACUUUCAUCAAUCUUCUGGGAUUUCUGAAGAAACCUUGUUUUCUUGUAUCCAGAUAUGGAAGAGUCUUCCCAGGUUAGUGGAUCCUUCUCUCUCUCACCAUUCUUCACUUCAUAAUCUAAAAGAUUUCAUCUUGUUAUGCCUUAGUGUGUGAAUUCAAUCUUGGAAUUAUUGGCCAGUUUGUGCUCACAGUGUGGGUUUUGGAAAAGCUUAUGAAUGUCAAUAGGGUCUUGUCAACUAGUUGCAGAUUAUAAGAUUGGCAAAGAAAGAAAUUUUUAUCAAAUCUGGCAUUAUAUAUGUGAUGCAAAUCCUUUUUUCUGGGACUUUCUUUUGUCAUAAUACUUGCUUAAUGAAUGGUGAAGAAAGGGAACGUUUUAACUUCUCAAUCAUCGGUAUCUGAUAGAGAAAUGUUCAGAGAACAUAAUAUGAUAAUACAGUUUAGGCAAUCAUGCAGUUGGAUUGUGUUAGUGUUAGUGUCAGUGUUUACACACUGUGGUCAUCUGAUAGUAGAGUGACCCUUUCAUACUGGGACUGUUCUCUUGCAGUAUAGGUUUAAAAGAGAUAACUGUGAUAUAGCAAUAGGUCUUAACGUUUUUAACUGUUUGCUUUUUUCUCUAGGGGAGUUUUGUUACAACCAUAAAUGAGGAUUAUGAAGCAAUUUGUUGGGGCUGUGGGCUAAACCUUGUUCUUCCAUCAUAUGCACCUGUUUUCAAGUGUGGAUGGUGUGGUGCAAUCACGAAUCAGAAUCCAGUCAGACCUGAAACCAAAAGCUUUGGGUUGAGACGUAUCCGUGACCGGUGUUUUGUCGUUAUUCUUGCAGUUUUUAUGCUCUUUGUGAUAUGUAAGUCCCUCUACAUAAGUAUAACAUAAUUUUGAAAAUUGAAUUUCCCGUCCCCUGUUAAAUUCUCUUUUGGAAAAAAAAACUUCAGGUGGUGGGAUUUGGGCUGCGUAUCCCGUCUUGUUUUCGAUCAGCUUGGCUUGUGGAAUUUUCCAUUCUGUUACAACAGCGUGUCUGGCGAUAUCAACGCUUUCAACAUUUAUUCUUGUUGCUUUUAAAUGCGCCGGGAAGCCAACAAAUAUUCUUUAUGGAACCCACCCUGGAGUAGGGAAUGGCGGACUUAACAACUAUACAUUUUGUAACUACUGCUCCAAACCCAAGUCUCCUAGAACCCAUCACUGCCGCACGUGUGGCAUGUGUGUAUUGGACAUGGAUCACCAUUGCCCCUUUGUAAGUCUCAUGGCUUUUUCAGGUUUCUCUUUAGUUAUUACAUGUAUCUUUUUUACAUAAAGGGCUAAAUAAAGAGUGGCUUUUUGAGUGUACGUUGUGUGGUAAUAUAGAUGAUUAGUUUUCGCAUUUAGCGUUUACAUAAAUCACAUAGACUUGUACCUUGUUUAUCAUUCCAUCUCAUAAACCCUCUAAUCUUCCCCAAUCAAGAGUCCUUGGAUACUAGACUUGUUUGUCAAUACCGUAAAUAUCAGUGUUCUUAUUUACUGGUUAAGGACUUAAACGCUAAUGAGUCUCCUUGUGUUGUAUUUGCAGAUUGGGAACUGUGUUGGUGCGGGUAAUCAUAAACACUUCAUAGCAUUCCUUAUCUCAGCCGUCACUAGCACAAUCUAUGCUGCUGUUAUGUGUGUGUAUUCCUUGAUUCAUAUCUUGCCACCUAUGGAAAAUGGAGCUGCAUAUGCAUCCGAUGUGGCCCAUGUGGCUCAUGGUAAUAGUUUUUCGAUUCUGAGAGUGGUGAAGAAUAUAUUUCUUACUUACAUAGCCAACGCUGUCUUCAUCUCUGUUCGAAGCCUUGUUCUAGUCUAUCUCUUUGUGGCGAGUGUUUCUGUGGCGAUUGGGCUAAGUGUUUUGCUGUGGCAACAGCUUAGCUAUAUCUAUGAAGGCAAGACUUACUUAAGCCAUUUAAGUUCUCAAGGAACAGAAGAAGAUGGUGAAAAGAGCUGCCGGAAUCUUUUGACUUUUUUCGGGUGUCCACAUUCAAUUGAAAGGCACUUGCCAACCAUAAGGAACUUGAGGAAGAGACAUAAGACAUGAGAAGAAGAAGAAUAGAAUGUGAGCCAAAUAUGUUUUUUUCUGUUUCCUCCUACGUUUGGGAGCUUGUUGUGGUCAAUUCAGAAACAUUCAUCAUACUUGGAGCUAACAGGUAAUGCAGAUUAGCAAAGUUUGUACCUCAUUUGUGAAAAUUCAUGAUCAUAGAAUAUAGGAGCAACUGCUCCUGUAAAUUUUGUUUCAAGAUUGUAAAUUUGUUGUUUCCCUGACAUGCCUUUGAACUCAAGAAUAACAUUAUCAAAGGGGUUCCAUACAAAUAUCCUUUUAGCUCUCGCCUUGAUAAUCGAACUUUCCAUACAAAUUUAAUACACCAUUGUUCUUGAAAACUACAAAAUGAAGACACAGUUUGCCACUACUGAGCCAUACUCAGAUCCAACUACUUCAACAGCCUAUGCUAGGGUUCCGUGAUAACACAGUUCACAAAAAAAGGGCAUUACAACUGUUAAGAACUUCAAACUUUCUUCACCAAAAAGGACUGCAAAAAACGCUAGGCUUAGGAGAAAAAUCACACUUCUUCUUGGCCUUGAGACUACGGUUAACAAGUUAAAGUUGCCAGUCUAUGGGAGGAAUCCCCAUUUGCUCGAGAAGCUGGUUUGCGCGAGAGAAAUGCCUGUCCAUAGGUGGAACAUUACUGUUAAACUCAGCAGUUGGGACAAAAUAAGCACAACACGCAGAUAAUUGCAGGUCAUGUCAGACUCACGGAAACAGUGGUUACAUUAUGCAAGUGAAUAGGUAGGAGGGAAAAAAAGGUUUACUAGAGUUGAGCUAACCUGCAGUUAAAGAAGCCUCUAUUCGCCGACAAACCAGAUGGAUGAGCUGCUGUGAGUAUAUGAUGUUUAGUCGCAUCUAUCAACCUGUAUUCAUACAAGAUAAAAACAAUGAACAUGCAUAGGCUGCAAAAUCUGCAAGUCUAAGAGGUUCUAGUGUUUUGGAAGUUAAAAUGAGAAUUUCAGUUACUAAUCUUCGUAUCACAUUCAGAAAACCAAACAUACUUGGAUUUCUCUUGAGCGUAUCUUCCCCAGAGAAGAAAAACAACACCUUCCUUCUGCUGUGAGAUGCUUUGGAUAACAGCAUCAGUGAAUUGUUCCCAUCCUUUCUUUGCAUGUGAAUUAGGCUGUUUACUCCGUACUGAAUUAGAAAGUAAGAUAACCAACAUAUUUGUGAGAAGAACUGCAGGAUUUUGACAGUUUUAUACAUAUUAGGUCGUCGCACGAUAAGAGACAUUUACCUGUAAGAACAGCAUUCAGCAGCAAGACACCCUAAAAAGGAAAUUCAAAAGUGAAUUGCUUGAUCUUCUCCAAGUAAACUAAGAAUUGAUGACACAAAUAAGAAGAGAGAGAUCAUAAAGAAACUCCAUUUACCUGCACAGCCCAUUUCUGUAGAUUACCGUGACGUGGGAUAGAACAGCCAACAUCUUUGUGAAGCUCCUUAAAUAUGUUCAACAGACUAGAAGGAAGCUUUUCUCCUUCAGGUACAGAGAAGGACAAACCCAUAGCUUGACCAGGUCCAUGAUAAGGAUCCUAAAUCAAACAGAGUAAAAACUUGUAAAAAACAGAAUCCAGAAAAAGAAACUAGUGUUCAUUCCAAAUGUUGUAUGUACCUGUCCGAUAAUGACAGUCUUAACUCGAUCAAAAGGAGUUGUAUUAAGGGCAUUGAAAAUCAAGUGUUGCGGUGGAUAAAUCGGAGGGCUUUUACUGUCAGCGAUGAUCUCACGUUCAAGGAAAUCAGAAAGGGUUUUGGCGUAAGGUUUAUGCAAUUCCCCAGGAAGAGCUUUAAGCCACGAUUCUUCCACUAAGAGCUCACUCAAUGGCACGUAGCAGCCUCCUUCAGCUGUAAUUUUCCAUCUCAAAAUCAAUCAUAAUGGUAAAACCCAAAAAGCUUUCUCAUUGCCCAGAUCGCAGAUUCUCUUACAGAGACUGUAAAUCAACUAAAGGAAGGGAAAGAAAAAACAAACCUUUCGCUUUUGUGACCUUCUCGGAGCAGACGGCGAGGUUACGCUUGGAUUUGGCGACGAACUUGUUGAACUCGGCGCGAGCGACCUGUUCAGGUGUAAGGCCAGAUGAGUCAUCGGCGACGGAAGUGGUUACGGUUACACGAGGCGGCGAGUUUGCUGCAGAAACCAAACCACGGGAUCCUCCGGCGACGGAGACGGCGGGGAAAGAGGAGGAAGAAGGGGAAGCUUUGAGGCGUUUGGCAGGUUGAAAAAAAUCCAUUAGGGUUUUAGAUGACGAAGCCAUUUCCGAUUCAGAAGUAUAUCAGUAGUCACUACGAAGACGAGAUCCCAAUUUUUUACUUUCUUAUCAAAUUCAUUUAAUAUUUCCGAGAAAAGUUUCAGAGAAGAGAAGAGAUAAAUGGCGGGAACAACGGUGGUACAGGCCCGGUUAAGGUAUCUUUUCAAGCCGGUUCAAACCGGUUAAAAGACCAAUCGCACACACAGUGUACUCCAGUUUCUACAGGAUUCAUUUCACCUUUUAAGGAACGAGUUUAGUAGUUCUGUAACUUCUGUUGAGAAAAACAUAAGCAAAAGGGCUCAAAGACAUAUUCAACAUAUAGUCACAAAGAGAUCACUGAAAUUGGUUCUAAGUUUCUAUAAAAAAAUGACAUAAAACGCAAUCUUGGUCUAUUAUCAGACUGGACCAUAUCAUUUAUGUCGAAAAUGAAGAAAAAAGAAUUGGGACAAAAUCUCUCUACUGGUAUAUCUACACAACUGAAAAUAAUGGGGACAACAAAUCAUCACCUGGUCUUCUAAUCUUCCUCUAAAGAUUAAGCAGGUAAGUAUAAAGUUAACAACAUUUUCCACUGCAGCUCUCAAGCUUUAUGAUGAUGAUGGAAAGAGAUGAAACUGUAUUAAGAAAACAUGGGAGUCCAAUUCAAAUUAUGUCUUCUUGAUUUUGCUGAUAUAUGCCUGGAGUUAAAAACAGACACAAAACAACAGUUAAGAACAUCGUAUGUUUGCAGUUUGAUUAAGUUUAACAAAGCAAAAGAGUAAUGUAUAUGAAGGAACCUGCACGAGCUUGGUAAGUUUUGGUUUUGCAGCGGAUAGAUAAUGGUCAAUCUUCUCCUGUGUUUGAGGAACGUUUCCACUUUGCAUACUACCAGUCACUUUCUCAGCUACCUUCUUCACUAUGUUUUUGUAACCAUCUUUGUUCAGCUUACCUUCUUUCCAAGCUGGUUUUAGAAGCUCCUUUACUACCUCAACUAGCGCAAACUUAAACGCCCUCAUUCCUUUCGGGUCUUUCUCUUUCUUGUUUUCUUCGUCGCUCCCAUCACCAUCUUCAUCUUCAUCCACGACAUUCUCAGCAUCAUUAGUGUCUUCUCCAAUUUUCUUACCCUCUACUUCCUUGCUAGCUUCAUCAGUCUUUUUGUCCCUGUUUUCCUUGGGAUUUAGCGAUAGUUCCUGAAUCCCAUCGACAUUGCUUACCUUUGAUGCAGUAACCGCUGAGACUCCUUCAGCACCAGUGCUCAUCCCUAGUCCCCAUGACUGAUUUGGAUUACUUCUCACUGGAUUACUUUGAGUAGCCUGAUUUGGUUGAACAGCCACGGAAGAUUCUGAAUGCAGCGGCAUCUUUAAUGCCUGUUCAAGCUGUGGAAUAGGCUGCCCAUUUGCAAGAAACUGCGCUAUAGUUGCUGAGAUGUUGGUAAUCUGAUCGAUUUGUUCCCUACUUACUGUAUUUUGGACCAAAACAGGUUUCUCCACCAUUGAGUGAUGAUUAUCUUGAUAAACUUUUCCACUCUCAAGAUUGCUCAAGUUCGAGCCUACUGAGAAAUUUGUAGCAGCAGCUACCACUUGUUGACUUCCUCCAGUAGUUAGUGAGCUUUGGUACGGCAAUACAUUAUGAUUUUGAUUGAAUGCUUGAACUGGAGCAACAUUCACUGAAUUACUGUAACUCUGAUGUGAAGCAGCUAUAGGUUUCUCAGCCAUAGUUUUGUCACCAUGUGAAAACAUACCACUAUUUCUUUGAUCAUAAUUAGUCACCAGAUCAUCUUUAAGAACUCGAGAUUGUGAACUCGGACCAAUAAUACCAACACCAUGUUCUUCCUUCACAGGCUUCUUUAAAGCUUGGACUCCAUAAUUCCAAUCAGGAGACAUCUCCAUGUCACCAAUCCAGCUACUACCAUUCCCUUUAGAUUCAGAAACUCCCUUACUGGCGCGAGAAUCUUCGAUUCUACCUACUCUUCCGUUGUCCAAUCUUUCAACAUCAUUCCAUUUAUUAUGACCACUACUAUGAUUCUUUUUGUCCUGUCUAUAAAAGUUGUUGUCUUGAGGCUGUUUUCUAUCAGCAACAUGAUGAGAAAACCUGCAAUAAUUGCCAUUACGACAGAACCCCGUCCCGGCAGCGAAAAACUUGCACGGAAUAUUCGAACUCCUGUGGAAUCCUCCUUCACCAUCACCACCCCUUCUUUGUGUUUCCUUCUCUCCCAUAAAUUCGCUUCUGUGCCUUCUCAUUCUCGGAUCUAAACCGCCAUCAUUUACAUGCUCCCUUCUCGAAUUAUCCUCGGGAUAAUCAGUAUUAUAGUCAGAAGACCUCGCACCUUCCAUCAUCGCCUCUUCUCUGAUAUUUUCGGUGUGAUAUUUCGUCUCCCUUGGCUUUCUAAUGUUAUCUUCCCAACCAUAAUCACUUCUUUGAUCAAACUGAUGAUCACUGCCUCUUUUAUUGAACUCCCUUAUUGGCGUAGGAGAAACUUGUGUUCUCGUCUUGUGUCUAUCAUAAGAUCCCGCAUCUCGUCUACCUCUAUAGACUGGGCUUCUACUACGGCUUCUACUACUGCUAUUACUUCUACUUCCACUCCUAGAAAAGAAAAAGAGAGACGUUACGUAAGAACUGAAGAGCAAAUAAACAAGAACCUCUACUUUUUUAACCUAUUUGUAACAACUCGAAACACUAACCUAGGGAAAAAUUGUUGCCUAGUAUCAUCUUGUUCAGAAAAAUAACUGUUAUCGUUAUUCUGUGAAACUCUGCUUCUAGUCCUAGCUUCACCAUUACUCUCUGCAUUGAACCGGAUAGGCUCAGACUCGUUGUCGCGGUAAUAAGAACCCGAGUUUGCAUUAACGGUAGAAUGAUGAUGGUGUGUAUCUUCCUUAGAGUCCCACUUUGAAAGACGUUUUCUUCCCAAACCACUCAUUUCCAUCCCCACUAGUAAGCACCAAACAUCAAAAGAAAAUCUGCAGAGAAGAAGUUUAUAAAAUAGAGUAAAAAAAUUAUCAAACAAGUAAACGAAACUGUAAUAACAAGAUUAAAAUCUCUUAAGUGGAAACAUCUGCAUACGAGAAAAAACAAAAUUGGGUUCAUAAGUAUAGAUCUCCAACAAAAUAGAAUCCAAUUUCUCCAACCAUUCAUAGCAAAUAGAAUCCACGAAGAAAAUCUUGUCUUGCAAUUGAAAAUAUUGAUCUUUGGGUUCAUAAGUGAGGAAGCCCAAUCAUGGAAGUAGAAAAAUAAGAAGAAUAAUUAAGCCGAAACUGAAAUUGGUACCAAUUCUCCCUGAGAAUAUAAUCACAAUGUCUCACAGAGCCCAAAUAGAACCUAAAAAACAUCAGACUAAAUUGAACCUAAUUAGAGCUUAAUAGACAAAAUUUCUCGAAGAAAAAUAACCCUAAAAUCAGAAUUAGACAAGAAGAUAAACAGAACUCACUCGAAUUCGAAUAGAGCACUUCAUCAACAAACAAAGAGACAAAACCCUAACACCAAGCUUCUUCUUCGGUUCUAGGGUUUUGAAAGAAAGUAAGAAACUGCGCUCAAGUGUACGAUACACAGAAAGAAGAACGACAACGAUUUUUAACUCUGUUCUUCGAAUUCCCAAGUUCUAUGUUUUUUUUUUUGUAAAAGAAAAAAAUCUACAAUUCUUUCGCUAAGAUUUUAUUUUGCUUCUGUGUGGGUUAAACAGGUCCCACUAAGAAGGUAAGUACACUUCAGUUCAAAUCUAACCGUUGAUUAAAAUCCUUUUAAUCUCAGCCGUGAUUACUUCUUAAACAAGCCGAACAACAACACUUUAUUGUCCAGUAGGAUCUUUUCUACUUUUUUCCAUUUUUCAUUUCAUUGUAUUUUUGCCUUUUUUCCUUUUUAAUGCGACAGAUGAUUGGAGAGAGAUGUUAAAGUAAUUUAAUUUUUAGCUUAAAGUAAUUUCUGAUUGUCUGUCUUUUUAUUCGUCUUAAAACUUAAAGGAUUGCCUAGGUUUUUUUUUGUUUUUUAAUUUAGCAUGCGAGAAAUCGAAUUUGGGGUGAUCAAAACUAGCCAACGAACUCAAGCUGGCGAGUGUGAGGCUAUACAUAUAGUCUAUAAAAAAAAAAAAGAAUUGAGCUGACAAAAGGGAAGAAAGAGUUAUUACGCCGCCUUCGACAAUCGUGAAACCAAUUAAUCAGAUACUGUAAUCAAAUUCUCAGCAAUAAGUAUAGCAAACAAGAAAAUCUUAGAAUAACAAAAGAGGAAGUAAUCUUCACAUUUUACCAAAAAAAAAAAAAAAAAAAGAGGAAGUAUAGGAAGAGAGUCACUAACAUGGGAGACAUUAUUAGUCCUAAUUCUCAGCAAUAAGUAUAACAAACGAAAAAUUCUCAGGAUAACAAAAGAGGAAGUAUAGGAAAAGAGUCACUAACAUGGGAGACAUUCCUUGAGUCACAUUACACUUAGCGAUUAAUCAGAAAUAAUCGAAAACUUAGAGAUUGAUAAAAUGUCUCAAACUGAUAAUUGCACUAACCAAAACUUAUAAAUAUAUGCUUCUUAGUUAUAUAUAGAACCCAAAAAUUAUGAAGCUAUAAGAGAGAUUGUGAGAGAUCGUCUUAGGGAGAGACCUAGUAUUGUUUCCGGAUUGAUCCGAAUUGAAAACCCGGUGCUGCUGUUGGAAAUUGAACAAGCUGAUGCGAAAGACCAUUAGCGUUACUGUUGUUGUUGUUGUUGUAGUCGUGCAUGUUCAUGCUCUGCAACCCGUUAGUUCCAGUUACAGUUCCUUCCACCCCAAGUAACCCUGCAUAGUCUUGAACAUUGAAGUUGUUGCGGCUGGACAUGUUAGUGUUCUCAAACUCAUUGUUUCCGUAUUCGUGUACCCCAAGUAAGCUAGAGUAACUUUCCACUCUGGAAUUUUGGUCAAUCUGUUUUGCGAAAUCAUUAACGCUGUUGAUGUUGUUGUAGGUUAACAUGUUCAUGGUCUGAAGCCCGUUGAUCCCAGUUCCUUGUACCCCAAGUGACCCCGAGUAACUUCCCACAUCCGAAUUUGGGUAAAUCAUUAGUUCAGACGGAAUCGGAGCCAGAGAUUGCGCUUGGUUUGAAGCUAAUGCAGAGACUGGGAUUUGCGAGAAAGAACCGUUAUCAUGGUUCCACAGAUACAUGGAAACCUGGUUUGAAUGUUGUUGAAGUUGGUUCAUCGUAUGAGCCAUCAUCAGUUCUUGACUAGCCAUGUUCGUGUACUGCAUCCUCCUCUGUCCCUGAGCUUCACCAACAGCGUGAGUCCUAUGUUGGAUUCUGGUUAGGUUUCGCUCCAAGGACUGAACAAGCCCAGUGAGUUGCUCCACAGAGUAAUUAUCAAACCUAGGGUCCCAAACUGGAUACUUGACUCUGGAUACACGUCUCACUUUAAUCUUCUUCUUCUUCUCCUCCUCCUCCUUGGAAUCAUCCUUAUUGAUCCUCUCGAGGAACUCGUGAAGAUCAACGCUUCCUUUGCGACGCUUCGUCUCGCUUAAUUCACCGUACCUUCGAGCUAUGGCUUUGACCUUCUCUCUGUCGUCAGGCCAUGUCUUGAGCUUUCCGUCUGACAUGUAACAGAUGACGCAGACAUCGAUGUCACAGAGAAUUGAAAGCUCUUCAGCUUUCUUAAAGACAGUCGCUUGUCUUUUAAUUAAGCUUGUGGCUCUCGAAGAAGAAGAAGCAGAAUUAGGUUUCUUGAAAAGGUUUUUUUUCUUCUUCGAUGAUGAAGACGAAAGAGAAGAGGACGAAGAAGAAGCCAUGGUUAUGUUAUUUCUGUAUUCUCUAUGAAUUGAAUGAUGAGGUGUUGAUCAAUGUUUGCGAAUAUAUAAAACCUUAGUUCAAGAAUUUCUAUUUUUGGUCUCGCUUGGUAAUUAAUGACGAAUCAAUAAUGAUAGCGGUGAAGAUUUCAUUUCCUUUUUCUGAUAUAUUUUUUCUCAUUGAAUCAAUUUAUAUGUUAAACAAGAGUGUAGUUUUACUAAAAAGGAAAACUUUGUAUUUUCGUUAAAUAUUAUGGAAAUCUUUAGUAGAGAUUCUUUUCACAAGCUUAAUUAUGGAAAUCUUUAGUAGAGAUUCUUUUCAUAAAUAUACAUAUAUACGCAUAGAUUUAUACUAUAUGUAUACAUGUUAACCCGCGGUACACCGCGGGCCUAAAUAUUAUUUAAUUUUUCUUAAUUAGUAAUUUAAAUAUUUUGAUUAAUUUGUAUUGUUUGGCUAUAAGUCUAUAAUCUGUAGUUUUGUAUAAGGUAUUUGAAUUUUACUAACAUUGUUGAUUUAAAUGAAUAUAUAUAUAUAUAUAUAUGUAUAUCUAUAUAUAUAUAUAUUGUAAGAUUAGUAUAUUUGAAGUUCAUUUUUGAAUAUAUAGAGAUAGAGAAAAUUAUAUAGUUCAUUACGCACUGAUAUAUAAGGUUCUCUCCUCUAGAUUUUAACCCGUGGUAUACCGCGGGUCGAUUUUUUUAACUAAAAAGUUUAAAUUUUAAGUUAUAGUUGUUUUGUUAAUAUUGUUUGUUUUGAUUAGUGUUUAAAAUUGUAUAAUUGUAUUUUGAUUAUUAAUUUUAGGAUUUUACUCGUGGUAUACCGUCCCGUAUUUAUAUCGAACCAAACCCGUUCCAUAAUACAACUCCGUCCCGUGAAAUCAAACAUCACUUUGUUAUUUUUCUUUUUAAUAAUAUUUUUAUUUAAAAACAUAUUAAUAAAUUGGGAACAUUAUAUAGAUAUUUUCUAAUUGUAUAAUUAAUGUUAAAAACUUUUAAUUGUGUUUGGUUAUAUGGAUACAUGAUAUAAACAGUGACAUUCUUUGUAAAUAGUUUAGAAAACGAAGAAUAUUUUCUAAAAUUUACUUCAAAUAUGUAAAUAUAGAUGUUCUAACACAAGAUAAUAUAUAUUGCAUAUUGUCAAAAACACAUAUCGUUAUCAACUUAAAACAUAAAAUAAUCUAAUAUAAAUUUUUUGGUUUUUAAAACAUAUUAUAGAAUUCUAACUAUACAUAUAAAUUUUUAAUAAUAAUAUUAUACCACAUCUAAUUAUAAUUUUUAAAUAAUUCAAAAAAAAAAAAACGUAUUGAAGUUGGAAUUGGUUUUUGAUUUGUAUUUACAAUAGAAAUGGGGAAAGUGGGAAGUGGCCCAUGUAAAUCACAAAGCGUAGCCCAACAAAAACCAAAACGAUACGUUUGGCAAUUGUCAUGUCCCUUGUUAUUUCGAUACUGAAAUUGAAUCCCGAUUCCGAGAGAGAGAGAGAUAGCGGAAGACGAUGCUUUGACGGUGGCGUAGAGUGCGUUGGAGGCGAUUAGAGAGAAAGGUCUCGGCGGUUUCAUGAGGAUGAUCCGAGAAGAAGGCUUCUUGUUAGUUCUCUGUCUCUCUUUUUUGAUUCUCUCGUCCUCUUUCCUGCUUAAUUUCUUCUCAAAUAUACUAUCGAUUUCAUACGUUAGAUCCCAAAAAAUUCUAGGAAUUUGCAUAAGUUUUUGGUGUUUGUCGAUGUUUGUUUGUAAUGAAUGGUUAUCAUUCUUCGGAUUUUUUCACUAAAUGUUAAAUUUGUAUAGGGCUCGAGUCUGGUCAACAUCAAUUUUAAACAGUGAUAGUGAUUCUUAAAAUUGGCAUAAUGUUUCUGGUUACUUAUAAUUUUUAAAUCUUAUUGUUUUUAUUAAUCUCUAGUAUAAUCUAUAUUAGUAAUUUUGAUUUUUCAUGGAUGCUGGAUUACGUAUAAUCUUGAUAUUGAAAUAGACUAAUCUAUUGAUUCUGUAAUCCUAUUUCGAUUUCAAAUACUAAUUGCUAAUGUUCUAGCAUACAAAGUUAACACUUUUCUUUACCGUCUCUCAUGUUAUUCACUAAUCAUCGUUUAAUUUUGAGAAGUGUGAUCGUCAUUGGUUUCAGAAUUAAACUUCCCACAAUUCAUGAAAUAAUCAUGUUUUUUUUUAGAUUCAAUAAUCAUCUCUCUUAUAGAAGUUGUAGCUACUUUACAGAAAUGUUGUAACAUAUAUAUUCAUGUGUCUAUAUUUUACAAAAGUUAAACAAUCUAAUUGAUUUAUCAACUAAUCAUUUAAUAUCAGAUUAUCUAUAGAAGAUAAAAGGAUUCAAGCUUUAUACAACAAUAAUCUUAUUUCCUUCUUUGAGCGGCUGUUUAGGUAAAGCUCACUAUUUUCUAUCAUUUCUGUCUAUUUUUCUGCUCUUCCUUAACUCUCCUCUUAUCUUCUCUUGAAUGCCUUCACUUAGCCACUUGAUGUUGCAUUCUUCUUUCCCCAGCUCGAGCCCCAGACUCGAGCCCUUCUUCCACUGGUUCUAGCCUUCUUCUUCAUGAAUACCAAAGGAACCCUCAGCUUAUCAGUCUCGUGACCAACACAAAGAUAAGAAAUUGUUUUCUUUAUAACAUGUACCUUAAAAGAUUCUUAAUCUAUGUAACUAACGUUUGUUUUGCUUCAUAGGUGAAGCUUAAUUUUUUAUUAUGAAAGUGGAAGUAAAUGAUUAGUGAAGAGUCGUGUCAUCUGUCCUCACAAGCAAUAGAGACAAAGGUUAGUAACAAAAUUUCAUUUCCAAGAGUUGUAGUUACAGUAAAACCUCUAUAAAUUAAUAAUGUUGGGACCAUGAAAUUUUAUUAAUUUAGAGAGGUAUUAAUUUAUCGAAUUAUUAAUUUAUAGAGAGAUUUAACUAAUUUUGUAAUUUCUUAAAAAAUUUCUAUCUAAAAAUAAAUUUUUUCUUUAUAAGCAAUAUCUUUUGAAAACUAAUUACAAGUAGAAAAGUAAUUCUUAAGUUUACAAAACAACACAAACUUUUUUCGAAUAAUAGAGUCAUAUUUUAUUAAAUUUUUACCUAGAAUAUUUUAAAUAUAUAUCAUAGUAAUUCAUAUAUGACAUAUAUAAAUUUAUAUCAUAUAUAUAUAUAUAUUAAGUUAAAUANNNNNNNNNNNNNNNNNNNNNNNNNNNNNNNNNNNNNNNNNNNNNNNNNNNNNNNNNNNNNNNNNNNNNNNNNNNNNNNNNNNNNNNNNNNNNNNNNNNNACAACAUCCCUAAAAUUGCUUAUCCAAGAUCCGAAUAGACUAAAACCGGGUCAAACCCGGAUCCAAAAGAAUUAAAGCAAAAAAGUACUGUAAAAAUGUAUAUGUAGAUACAUGCUACCCAACGAUCCGACAAGGACUAACUUUGGAAUUCUAGAAAGUUAAUAGAUGUUGUACUUAAUUACAUCGAUUAAUUUGUAUUGUUUGGCUAUAAGUCUAUAAUCUGUAGUUUUGUAUAAGGUAUUUGAAUUUUACUAACAUUGUUGACUUUUUUAUGUGUAUAUUCAAAAAUGGCACAUAAAUACUACAUGUGUUCCAUCUAUCUAUAUAUACAUUUUUGAAUCACUUUUAACAAAUAAAUCCUGGACUUGGAACUUAUUUACAAUACAAUGCCAUUGGCAUUUAAUGUUUUAACAAAAAUUUUCCCAAAUCUAAAUAUUAAUCGAUUUUGUUACUAAAAUUUAGGAAACUAAAAGAAAAAAAUUACAAAAAUCAUUUAAAUUUUUCCUAAUUCUUCAUUAAAAAAAAAAAUUUGUUUUAGUUUUAUGUUUUUUUUUUUAUUUUUUCAUAUGUUUGAUUAUGUUUCUUGCCAAUCAUGUUUGUUUAAUACAAUAUCACUCUUCUUGAGAAGAUCGAAAUUGAUUUUAUUUUAUUUUGAAUCACUUUUUUGGAGAGUAUGAUCUUCCUCUUAUAGUAGUUCAUAUGUAGAAGCCAUCCAUCACAAUUUAAAAAAAAAAAACACUCCCUAAAACUUUCUUUUCUGAUUUUUUAAUUCCGGCGUUCUAAUUUUGUUUUUCUAUAUACUUUUUUCUAAUUUGCAAUUGUACAAAAUAAUUAUCACUCCCUAAAACUUUUUUUUCUGAUUUUUUUAUUCCGGCGUUCUAAUUUUGUUUUUCUAUAUACUUUUUUCCAAUUUGCAAUUGUACAAAAUAAUUAUCACUCCCUAAAACUUUCUUUUCUGAUUUUUAUUAAAUUUUGUUCUUUUUCUGGUAAGAAUAAAUUGUACAUGUAUUAGGUUGAUAUUGCUAAUUCAAAUAAUGUUAACAAAAAUGCCCAAAUAUAGGCUAUAUUAAAAGAAAAAACAGUUAGUCAAAAACACAAGUAUAUCAAUCCCAAGUUAUGAUUAAACUAAAUAUUUAUUUAUAAUAUUUUUUACCCAAAACAAUAAAUUUAUAUAUACUAAAAAAUUUGAAGUACCUUUUUUAAAGUACUUUUGUGUUAGUAAAGUAAGAAUUUACAAAGAAUGUCAUCACAUUAAAGUCAAAAAACAAUUAUUAUUUUUGAAAUAUUAUUAUUGAUAUAUUUUAAAUUUAUAAAACAUUAUUAAUUAAAAUAUCAUGAUACGAGUUAUAUAGCGGGACGGGUUUCGAUUAAUAUAACAUGGGUUAUAUCUAUACUUUAUUAUUUUAUCAUCACUAAUUUUUUUUAGUUACAACAUUAAUAUAAAAUUAUAUAACUUUAAUACUAAAUUAAAAACCAUAAAAUUUAAUAUUUAUUAUAUAUAUGAAUAAAACAUUUGCUCCGUGGUGUACCACGGGUUAAAUCCUAGUUUUGUUGUUAAACUGCAAAAAAAAAUUGUUUUAUUCAAAUUGAACAAACUAUUGUAUAGGAAAAAAUGUAGUAACACAGCUGAUAUAUUUACCUAAUCUCGCAGAAACAAUUCAAAUAAAAAAAAUCUCAUGAAAUCCAUUGAUAUAAAGUAUGUAUAAAUAUUGCGUCACAAGUUAUGGCCGGGAAGUGACGAUCUCCGGGCGGCGGUAAUGGCCGGUGGGGUGGGAACAAAAGACUCGUAGUCGGUCCAAUUUGAUUCUCCCCAAUGCCGCAACAUACUUUUCCAAUUACACAAUUUAUCGAUGCAAAUCUUGAAUCUCGGGUCCUUUAUUCUUAUUUUCCAGUGACCGUCGGCAUAAUUCGCGGCCUCUGCUUGCCGACGAUCAUAUUCCAGCUGUGCCUUUUGCUUGGAUCGCAAGUAACAAAACUGGUGAAGUUCCUGCAAAAUAUAUCAUUUAUGUUUAAGCGUUUAUAGUCCAAAAUUACGUACUAACCGUCACAAUUUUCGUAUAAUUGGGAAACGUCUAUACUCUAAGAGCAUCUCCAACCCACCUCUAUAUUUGCUUAUAAACUCUAUUUUAGAGGCAAAUUUGCUCCAACCCACCUCUAUUCUCACCUCUAAAAUAGAGAUCUCUAUUUUUUGCUCUAUAUAUAGAGGAUGAUAUAGAGAAUCUCUAUUUUUUCCCCUAUAAAUAGAGUUAAAUUUUAUAGAGGAAAAAAUAGAAGAACACAUUGGAGUAAAAAUAGAGAAAACUCACCUAUAUUAUAGAGAUAGAGCUAAAAAUAGAUAAAUACAUUGGAGAUGGUCUUAUAUUCUAAAAAUUUCAGAAAACAUGAAAUGAUUUUUUUAAGGAUUUAAUAAAAAUUUAUAAAAUAAAAUAAAAGACAUUAAAAAUUUAUCUAAAUGACAAGCAAUGUGUGCAAAGUGCAAACCAUAACUUGGUGCUUACGACCUAACUUCCAAGUUUAUUAACCCACCAAGAUUUUCGUAUAUUUAGAGAUAAAAUAUGGUUGUUCUAUACUUGGGUAGGAAGUAGUUUUUAAUUUAUAUAUUUAUGCAAAGCUAUGGAGAUUUUUGAGAGGGAAAAAAAAAAUGCUAAGCAGUGUCUCAACGCAUGACUAACGCCUUAUAAUAUUUUGAACAUUGAUCAUAACAUGAGAAUGUUAUGUGAUUUUGAGUUCAAUUAGGGUUUUGAGGGGAGAGUGAAUCACCUCUGGCAUGGCGUCGUGGACCAUCCACCAUUUUCGGUGAGCGAUAUCGGUAGCAAACUCAACAAAUAUGUCGGAGUUGAAGUUACAGUCGUAGUCACGGUAGCAUAACCACGGCUUCAUUCCCAGGUAAUGAAGAACAUAAAGAACAGGAGGCUCUGCUCCAAAAAGCUCUGUUUUCUUGCGUCUUACGUCAUCUUCAUCGCCAACCCAAAAAUGCUUUAAGAAAUUCAUAUGUUUCGGAAUCCGGUGCCACCAUGUGAAUACCUCGUUUAAGUAACCUUGAUCUCCUCCGUUGUAAGACUCAAUCUCGUUUAUAUGUUCCAUCAAAAGCUGAAACGUACAGUUGCAAGGCUCGAUCACCAUAACUCCUGAAUUAAAGAGAGUUCCGUUGUUUCCUGUAGCUGAGAUUUCAGGCAUCGAGAACAGGAAAUCGAUGUUUCUCAAGAUUAAGAGAUCCGCGUCGAUGAAGAUGAUUUUGUCGUAAUCAGUCAGCUGCCAUAACCUGAACUUGCUGUAGUUCCACUCGUUGUAAGCAUCUUUCUCUGCUUUAGGGUUUCGAAUCCUCUGUAUCGUCCGGAUUUGCCAACCUGCGGCUUCUAGUCCACUCCGGUGGUAACCGCUUAUGUUAUCAUCGACAAGGAUCACGAGGUCUCUCGUUGACCCGGACUGUCUUAUGCUCUGAGCCGCCGCGAUUGCACCACAGACGUAAACGUGAGCGGAGUGAAGAAUCGUUGCGUAAGCUUCUCGUUUAGGGUUUCCUAAGCUUGGUCUCUCUGUAAAAAUCCAUAGAUUAAGACAGAAACUUAUCAAUUUAGCGACGAUCUUCAAAUCCAAAAAGAAAGUAAUGUCGGUAUUCAUUCAUUUCUUGUACCUUUGAUGCCGAGGGGAAGAGAGAGCUCACAAGAACCUACAGGAAGCUGAAGCUUAUCUCUCAAGGUAUCAAGAUUAGGUUUAUACAACCAAACAUCGCCUCUCCGAGACACUAGAUCUGUACACCGGAAAAGAUUCGGAAUCGGAAAGCAUCUAGAGACAAACAACACAUGUCCCCUGAAAAGCCCUUUGGCCGAAGCCGCCACCGUUGCAGCCGCCAGCUGUAGAUGCAAUCUCCCGACGUCUCUCGACCAAUUUCCUUCUUUCCGACAAGGAAGCUUCACGACGAUAAGAUCAAGUCUUCUUGUAGGUACCUUAAUCUUCGGGAGAUUAGGACAAACAGGGACCUCUGUUUCUUGCUCCUCAUCGAUCCACUCUGGAUAGAGUGCGUCCCAAGUCACGUUCUUGUCCGCGUAGUCUAGAUUCAAUACGACAACGUUUUCUUCAUCCUUAUUGUCGUUGCUCUUGGAAACUUCUCUCCAUCGCUGAAUCUCGUUCGAAUCGAAAUUCAAGACACCGAUCGUACGGCCUUCUUCGAUGCUCUCAAGGGUUUUGGUCACAUCGUCCCAGUUUAUGUCCAGAUCCGAGACGUAACGAGGAUCUUGUCUUCUCCAUAUCCAUCUAAAUUUCACAAUAUUAAGAUAAUAUGUAAGAGAUAGACGCAAAAGUAAAUUUUUGCAUUUUGACAAUUUAAGGUCAAGAAUGUUAUAAUGUUGGCGAUGGAAAAUGAAAAAGAUUUACCGAGAAGAAGAGUGUGAAAGAGAAUGAUGAUAAGCUUCAGGAGAAUAAAUAAUGGUGAAUAGAGUAGCAGAAAGAAGGAUAAACAAGAGAAGCUUCACGAUCUGAAACUUGCUGCAACAACAACAACUAGUGUUUUUGUCUUGUGUUGGAAAAUUUAUGAUACUAAACGGUUUCAGCAUAUCCGAUCUACCACUGCCUUUGCUAUUUCUUCGGAAUCUCCUCUUGCAUAUUGCUUCUCUGCUUAAAACAUACAAAAACAUAGUUAGACUAGGAUUUCAGAUUUUUUUAAUCAUUUAUGAAUUAGAGAGUAAUAUGUACACUAAUUACAUGGACGCGGAGAGGCGUCGCCGGGAGUCACCUCCGGUAGUAGCGGUGGCUGCAGGAGCAGCGGGAGAGUUUGCCAUAUAAAACUGAUGGAUUGAGACAGUAGAAUUGGACAAGGAAGAGGAGAGAGCAAAUAUAGGUGAGACAUAACGUCUCUUUUAAUCUUCUUAUAUCACAUUUGCUUUGUUUCUAUUUUUGUUUUUGCUAGGAAAUAAGAAAAAUGUAUUUUGCACACCCACCUUUUUUAAUAAAGUUAUUUUUGAUUUUCUCCUUUUUAAGUUAUGUGAUUUUUUUUUUUUUGAUAAAAAAGUUUUGUGAUUUUAAGAAAAUGUUUUGAAUUGUGGAUAAUAUUGUAGCUCUUUAGUUUAAACUCCAUAUUCUCAGUUUAUGACUUUCUUAUGAUGGACAUAUGUCCACCAAAUUUUUGAUCAUUUCUUUGUAAAGACAACCAUAAUUUAUUUUCAAAAUAUUUUUUUUGAAAGGUUAAGCCAUUGGAUUCAAAUAUGUAUAUGGUGGAAAGAAAUAUAUGAUCUAUCUUUUUUUUGCAUGUACAAUAUACAGCUGGAGAAAGAUAAUGAUGUACGCAUGCAUCCAUGAAUUAGUUAACAAUUAAUAUAUUGAAAUGUUUUCUGGUUUUGGGUUUUUUGGAACAUAACCAAAGAUGACGUAUUGUAAUAACAAAGCAACCGUUACUAUAUAUUAACAAUUGACAAUACUAAUGUAUAACGUUUAAAACCUUGGUGGCAAAGUAAGGUGAAGAUAAGGUAACAUAACAAGACAGGUAAGCUCAAUACAUUGAUUCAAACUUCGCUUGCAAUUUGCAAGGUUCGGAGGUCUUUUCAAGAACUGCUUCCACCAAACUUUUUAGUGUAUUGAAAUUGUAUUUAUUUAUUGAUUAUUCUAAAAACUAAUCUUGAUUUUGUGGUUUAACUAACUCAGAUUACUAUAGAGAUAACCACCACUUAAGCAGUGUAAGCUCAUACUGUAUUGUAUUCUGAUGACAACUGAAUAUUUGUAUAUAUAUAUAUAUUUGCUUGUGAAUAUAAUAUAAUGUUUGUAAGGAACUUGGUCGUUGGCAAAAGAAAAUAAUAAUACAAGAGGAAGAGGAGCUUGUUCGGAAGAAUAGAGUAUAUGGUAAUUUAGUAUUUCUUUGUCGGUCGGUUGAUACGAUUUUUUCACCUAUGGAUAUAAUUUUUUUCUUAUAAAGAAAAUGGGUUAUAUACAUUUGAGCAUAUGAUCCAGACUCCAGAGAGAUUAAAUCACAGAACCAAAUUCUACAAAAUCUUAGAUGUUCACAUUUUGUGUUUUACUUAAUUUUCUUAAUUUUGACAAUGUACGUAUUUGUAAUUCAGAAUCAAAUAAAGUAAAAGAAAAUCGUAUAUGUGAGGAAAUAUUAUAUGGUUUAGAUGAAGGAAUAAUAAUAUAGCAUAAUUGAUAAGAUCCGAGAAAUGUUACGAGAUUAAAAUGAUUUAAUUAAUUAACUUCUAAGCUUCAUUAAGACUUGGAAAAACAAAACAGGUGUGGGAACAUAUGUCAAUCAGAGGACUGAAAGAGUAGCUAAACUGCACAUAGGAGAAGGUGGGGACUCUAAAGACCAGAUUUGCUUUUGAUAAGAGCCUUGCACCCAUCGCUACGUAUGAUUCAAGAUAUAUCAUAUAAUGACACAAUUUUUAUUCGAAAUAUCUUGUAUAAAUCUAAAAAUAAAGACUCGCAAUAUUAAAACAUAAGUUUAUUCAUUUGUGUUGGGAUAGUAUUAAUCUUUACGCACAUACACAUAUUCGAAAUUUCGAAUGAACAUAUGUUGUUGACAAAUGGCAUUGUAUUGGAAGCAAAGCGAAGCAAAGGUAUUUUCGUAUCUUGUACAUCUUUCCUUUCCAAGGACCAACACUUUCACCAAACAGUAUUUUCUUGUUGACUAUUAAUGGAAAAAAAAUUUGAAAUAUUAAAACUAAAAAUUUAAUUUAAAUAUCGAUACAGUUGUUUGCAAAUAAUUAAUUAAGAUCAAAGUUCUAAAAAUCGGGUGUUUAAGGUCUAUUCAUCUGAAAAUACGAAUAUCGAUAAAAGAAUGGUUCAUUGAUAUACCAAUUACCAAAUAAACGCCCGAUUGGAACAUUAUAAUAUGGGUCUGACUGGUUUAAACGCAGCAGUUGCGGUUGCGGUUGCAGGAUUUUGCGGAAGCGAGCGGUUGCGGCUUCAAGCGUUAUCAAGCGUUUUAAACGACUGGUUUAGCGUUUGAAAAUGGGUGCGUUUGCGGAAGUUUUAUGACUGGUAAACCAGCGGGUGCGGUAGCAGUUAAAUAAAAAAAUGACCAAAAUAAAUAAAAAAAUAUUACAAAAAAGAAAUAAAAACACCAAUAUAUUAUUAUGAUAAUAUUAGAAAAAUUGAACAUGCUUAAUAAUUAAAACCAUAAAUAAAGUACUAAAUAAUUAUUCAAAAAUAAAGAAAUUUUGUAACAAGAUAGUAGUUUAUGCGUCGAGUUUAACAUCAAAAAUUGCAUCAUGUAAUGGGACAAACUGUAAAUAACGUUGAAUUCAAUCAAAAAGCAAGCGAGUUUCUAUUCGAGAAAACAAAUCGAAAUAUAUAUUCAAUCAAAAAGCAAAGCAAUUGUAAUGAAAAGAAAAAAAAAACGAUGCCAUGAAAGAUAUUCAAAAAGUUACACAUGAGGUGAUGAAUGAAUAAAAGGAUAUAUGAUACUUACGUUUGGUUAUUGAUUUUCAUCAGUUUGGGUGUAAGACAUUGAGAGAAUAAGGUUUCAGAAUAUUAUUAGGGUUUCUGAUGAGAACGUGUAACAAAGAUGAAAGAUAUAUAUAGGAUUAAUAUAUAUUAUAAUAAUUAUAAGUAAACGUUCGAUUUUUUUUUUAAAAAAAAAAUAAAAAAUCCAACCGCUACCGUCCGCAAUCGCAAACGCUCGCGGGAAGGAACUUUUGAAAUUCAACGAUUUCGAGCGGAAACAGAGCGGUUUCUAUGAUUGGUACCAACCGCUAAGAACCGCAACCGACCGCUAGCAACAGCUAGGAGGGUGCUAGCUGGAGAACCAAUCAAGCCCUAAGUGCUACAUAUGAAAGGUAGGAGAUAAAGAAACUAGUGUAGGUAUUGGACUAUUGGUGCAUAUUUCAUGUUAAAACACACAGGGUUUGUGUUAUAGCAUGAAUAUACCACUGAGAAAUUGAUUGUCUUAUUAUUUUUAUGUUUUUAAAGUAGAACUGUAGAAGUAUAGCUGGUAUGGACUUGAAUGCAUUACUAAUCAAGAGAGGCCAACCCAUUUCUUAAACACCAAAACCAUAAUCCAUUUGUUUAGUUAAGACUCGCUUUAAACUUUUGAGAGCAUUGCCUUAAUAAGGAGUCUUGUGAUUCUUCAAGAGCAUCAAAAUUCUUCUACUUGUAAAACAAAUAUAUCUUUUAUUUAUGCAGCAUCUCAACAACUUGAUUAGUCCGUCUAACAAAAGAAAUAGAAAACUCGGUCGAGAAACUUUCUGAUCAAACCUAAGUGAAAUAGUCUGUCUAUAGAGUUAUUAAUUUGAUCAUCAUUAUCAUUAAAAUCUCGAGAAAAGUUUAAACAUUCGCCGAGACUGGGGAGGCUUAUCAAAAACUCUAGGGAAAUAAGUCGAGCAGAAGAUCUCAAGUAAAACCGGAAACUGAAGAACAACGAACAUCCCCAGCGGAAUCACCGCAAGAAACAUAAAUUGAGCCGAAACCCACGAGAUUUUCUCUCCAACCAAAGUCAUGAGCGUCACGACAAAAGUCACCAUCAUCGUCGCCAUCGACAGAAACAAAGAAAAAAGACCCACGAUCAGUUUUGUCGGAAGUGAUCGAAGAAAAUCCUCUUCACGGUAGCGAGACUUGAGAAUGCCGAGGAACAUGAGGAGAGACAUACAUGAUGUGAAAAGAGAGAUAGCGUCGGAGAUGAGGAAAAUCUUAAACAUGUGCUUGUGGAUGUAGAGUGGCAUGCCAUCUGAACGGUAACCUCCGGGGACAGUAAACGCCGAGGAAAACAUCAUUGUGGUGAUUAGAGCGGCUACGACUGUGCAAGAAGCUGCUGUUUCUUUCAUCCAUUUCUCUCCUUGCUCCACGAGGUCCUUGUGUUGGUCUGUAAACAGAGCCUUUGGAGUUUUCUUCUGCUUCAAGUUAACCAUUUUCCGAUGCUUCGGUUGCACUAACCUCUCCACUUCCUGCAAACAAAGACAGCAAUUAAAAACUCCUUCGAUUAUGGUCGGAGGAAAAAAUCUCUAGAUGUUGAAAAACAGAGUUAUAAUCCUAGAUAUUCCUGCAUAAACAGUUUUUGUCUAGUGACCAAGGAAUAUAAAUAUGCAUCACCUUGAACCAUUGUAGUUCCCUUUGCAUCUGAAGAGCUGCACCAGGAAUGAGAUUAAGCCGUGAGGCUGGGGCUCGAUAAGCGGCAUGAUGAAGCAUAUUGUUAUGGAAUUUGUCCCAAUUUGUAGCGAGGAUGUUCUUCUUAGCACCCAUAUUGUAAAUGAGGCUAAAGAUCUUCUCUUGUCUCUGGCUUACCGCGUAGAAGAAGAUGUUAAGACCACAACUAUCUUUGAACCAUACGAUAUCAGGAUAAUGCCUCAUCAUUUCCUCGAUAUACUCUACGAUACCAUUCUCUACCGCCUUAAAGAGAGCUUGGUUUAGGCCAGCGUUCUUCUGUUGGGCCGCGUCAAAUUUUGGUAUCUCUUGGCAGAUACAGUCUAGUAUUUCUUUGGCUUGAGCAUGUCCUAGCUUCAGUUUGUAUACACGUCUAAUUAUGUGUGGAACUGUCAAUAUGAAAUUUUAAUCUAAGAUUGAUAAAAAUUAACAACGAGGGCUCACAAUUUUGGAUGGUUAUAAAUUACAGCUUACAAAGAAAUUUGAGGUGUUUCAACAACUUUUCUUGAAUCCGAUUAUGAUCUUGUGAUUUCCUAUAUUGAUGUUGAUGAUGAUUAUGAACUUCAUGCGGGUUACUAAUCUUCUCUAUGUGAACACCUUCAAGAGAAAAACCAUGAAUUUAACGAUAUAUAACUCUCAAUCUCAACAAAAUUAAAGCCUAAUAAAACGGAACUCCCUAAUAAUCAUAUAAACGUUAUAGAUAAUCUUCUUUUAAAUAAGCAUAGUCUUAAGUAUACCCACAAGAAUAGAUCCACCGUUGCCAAAACGCAAGACGGGUACCACUGGGGAACGCAUGAGGCGUUUGAGCAAGCGCGAUAAUCGCUGUAUCGUUAUCACUGUCUCGAGUAUAAGCCAACUUAGGAUACCUCUGAAUCAGAUCCAAAGCAAUACCUUUAUACAUGAGCCACAUUAGCCACAUCUCAUGAACAAAUAAUAAUACACGUACAUUUAUAGAUCAUCAAUUAAGAACUUACCAUAUAAUCCAUCUACAAUACAAUUUGUCACGAGCAUCGCUCCAUUCUUACCCUUGUGUUCAUCUGAAUCAUCACAAGGAUCAAGAUCACUGAGAGGUGUGUGAUUGUAAAGAUACUCAACCAGAUGUUUGUGACCGUACAACGAAGCCACCACGAUUGGUAUAUGCUCUUUCGCAUUCCGAACACUAACCAAACCGGGACAUCUAUUCACCAAACACUCUGCAAUUCUCACAAUCCCACCAGUGGCAGCAUAACUAAGCGCUGUGUAACCAUUAUCGUUCUUGAUCUUUAACACUUGCUUUGGAUCAUGAAUUCUUCUAAUGAUCUCUUCCACGAUCUUGAUGUGACCCGACAGAACAGCUUUAUGGAUUGGUGUGUCUCCGUUAGAGGUUAAGCUUGCGGUUAAAGCCUCAGGGUUUCGGUCCAAGAACUCUUUCGUCGCUUCCAAGUUUCCACUGUCUAUGUUCUUGAAAAGGACAAGAUAGGUCGAGUUCUCUUGUCGUAUCUCGCCUUGUGGUAGCUCGGCUGCUUCAUCGAUCUGCAUACUAUCUGAUCGAAAACUUAUGCGGCCUGUUUCUGUUCGUAGACUGUCUGCUCUGAAACCUCUUGGAUAACCUUUUUCGGUAUCCAUUUGUCGGUUUGCUUCUACCGCAAGAAACCUAGUGGGAUGUGCUUGUUUAAGUGUGAAAUUGUUCUUUUAUAAUUUUUGUAAAAGCAAACAGAGCUUUCCGUUAUUCUAACAGAGAGACAUGAGUAAAGGUGUUACAAGAGUGGUGACUUCUCUUUGAAGGAAGGUUUCAAGGACAAAGAAAAGAGAGAAGGAUUCAGGUAAUUAAACAUUAAAACUGUAAGACGAAUGAUCGAUCCUUGACCAUUGGUACUAUCAUGAAAUAUUUCAAGAUUUUCAUCCUUUUCUUUUCUCUCGUGUUUGUUACUUCAAACUUUUCCUAGGAAUAUUUAAAAGAUUAAGCUUUAGUGUUACACAAUUUUACGUCGUUGAAAAGCAAGGAAUUUAAUUUCACUCUUCUAACAAUGUUAAUUAUAUGCAGUAAACUUUAAAACUUGAACCUGAUAAGAAAACUCAUAAAUUUUCAAGUCAUUGAAAUGAAAAUAGGAGUGCUUUGUGGUUCUUCACUUCUCUUCUAGGAUAUAAAUGUAUUUCUUUCAAGAGUAUCUAUAAAGGAUGACAAUAGAAGAUUCAAUAAUUAGUUCAUUCUCUUAAAUACUAUUUGAUAUUUUUUAUACAUGUGGAAAAGACAACUCCAUCAUUCACUAUAAUUAAACUAUUUAUUUUUAAUUUUUUCUUUUUUUUCUUCCUUUCUUCUUUUCUUCACGAUUAUGUGCAGACCAAAAUCAAAUUUGUUUGGGUUUUGAUUAUGUGAAUACCAAAAUCAAAAUUGUGGUAGAUUCUGUGAUUUAUAGAUGGUAGUGGUGAUAAUGAUACCGGUGGCGAUAGAUGAUGAUGAUACCGACAGUGAUAAUUUUAUCGGCGGUGGUCGUAGUUGAAAUAUCGGUGGUAGUUUCAGUGAUUUACAGGUGGUGGUGGUGAUGAUGAUAUCGGUGAUGAUGGGUGAUGAUGAUAUCGACAGUGGGAGAAUGGGUUGUCGAUGGCAACAACCAUUGUUACAUUCUUCUGGGUUCAAUUUCAUAAACGGAUAACAAUUUCAUUAGCAACGUAUAUAAAAGGCUAACAUAUCUUAAACGUAACAAUUAUAUUAUCAUGAUAAAUGAAUACGCUAAUGUAUAAGUUAACGGAAAUAAUUAAAUUACUAAAGUAAAUAAACCGGUUAAUACAUAAGUUAGCUGAUAUAAUCAUAUAAUAAAUAUUUUAACACGAUAAAUAUUAGUUUACCAUGUAACUUAUAAACUUAUCGCGAUAUAAUAUGAUUUAUCGAAAAUUGAGUCAUAAUCGAAAAUUUGACCGAAACUAUUAUCUGAAAUUUAUGUCUCGUCGAUAUCUAUUUUGUUAUAACGGUAAACAAUUUGUUACAUGCGGAGGGGUAUUUUUGUCCAACUUAUACAAAUUGAUGAGAGAGAACUAAUUAUACAAAAAAACAUGUAUAUAUUCUUAAUUUUUCAGUCAUCUGUGUAUUUAGAUUUAAUUGACCCUUCUUUCAAACCCAUUAAUCAAUAAGAAAUAAAAGAGUGUGAUUAUUAAAAUAUAAGAAAAUAUAUAUAUUUGUAGCUACUUGUUAAAUUAAAUGUAGUGCACUAAAUUGGUGUUCAAUUAAAUUUGAUUAAAUAAUACAUUUUCUUAGAAGUGUAUAUAUAUAACAUAUGUUAAAAUCUUAAAGACAUUAUGAUAUGUAUCAAAAUCUUAGAAAUAUAUUUAGAAUUUAGUGAAACUUAUUCGUUUUUGUAUGAUAAGAUAACAUUAAAUAUAGUGAAUUAUUUGGGGUAUUGUCAAAAAUUAAAAUAUCAAAACAGUGUCGAACUAAAAACGGCCAAGAUUCAUUAGUAAAAUUACAUUGGAACCAGACCUUAUCUUCGCAAACUCAAACGCCGUAUUCGCCGGCGACGAUUCUCUACUGAAUAUAUCAGUAAAUCAUCUCUUCUUAGAUCUCUCCGGCAAUGGCAAUUCCGUUGCCUCUCACCUCUUGCUCGCCAAUCUCAACUUCUUCUUCUAUUUCCCGAACCUCCUUCGUCCCUCUCACACCUCGCAAUCGUACUUUCUUCUCCAACCAGAAUUGCAGCAGGCGUGUACUUAUCAGCUGCUCUUCUUCAGACAAUGGUUCAUCUCCAGAUUCCAUGAACGGAAGCGGGAACGGGAGGUAUUAUUGAUCUUCAAUUUAUAACAGUAUGCACACCAGGUGUUUGUGGAAAUUCGUCAAUGAAAACACUUUUGGGUUUAGGGUUUAAGACUUUAUUGAAAUAUAUUGCAAAUUUGAUUUUUUAUUGUUUUGGUUGAGGUAAAUCUUAACCCAUUUAUGAAGUUUGGAACUUUGGCUGCUUUUGUUAAAACUCUGUUGCUAUCAUCUGUAAUUUUCAGUAGCUUAAACGGGCAGACAUCUUUUCCACGAAUGCCUUCCUUUGAUGGAGCAUCCAAACCACCGCUUAAAUGGAGAAGGGUUUUACUCAAAGUCAGUGGAGAAGCUCUUGCUGGAGACGAGGAACAAAAUAUCGAUCCAAAGGUUUUUGUGAUGCCAAAAAAAUAAAAACACCUCCUUGUUUCUGCUUUUUUUGUUUACUGUUUCCUUCUUCAGAAGUCUCAUCCAGUUUCCCAUUUAUUAGGUUACUAUGGCGAUUGCAAGGGAAGUUGCAGCAGUGACUCGACUUGGCAUUGAGGUUAUUCUCGAAACGCUUCAUCCAAACAUUUUUGUUCUAGUUGUAAUUGUGUUUACUGUGACCAUGGAUUCAACACUUCUUAGUUAUCAGGCAUUAAGCUUUGAGUCUUUCCUAGACGGGUUGAUUGACAAAGUAUGAUAAGUGCAAUUUCUUAGUACGUGAAGUAUUUGAUGAUUGCUUGUGUAGAAGUAACCAAAUAGGCUGAAAGUCAAUUAACUCAAACUUACAAGAAACGGGAGCUUAAGUUAAGGGGUGGAGAUUUAUGGGAUUACACAAGCUAAGAUUAGAAAUUUAUUAUGCUCUAAACAUGCUAUACGUGCAACGGAUGAUGGGUCUGGGUCAUUGAGAAUACUCAUUGAAAUGUUGUGUGUGCUGUGCUCUGUCUUGAUCUUCUUACGCCUUUACAAUAGGUUGCAAUUGUUGUUGGAGGAGGAAAUAUCUUUCGUGGAUCUACCUGGGCUGGGUGCAGUGGCCUUGAUCGCUCCUCUGCUGAUUAUAUUGGGUAAUCAUAUGCACUCUUGACUCUGGUGCCACUCAACUCUGUUUUUCUGAACUUUUACGCCUUUGUGUCAAAUGAUCUUGUUCUUGCCUUUCGUGUCAAAUGAUCUUGUUCUUCUUACUUGGAGAAGAUCUAGAAUUUUCCCCUAUUGGAGGUUUUUGGUUACAUUGGUUUAUCUGAAAUUUGAUAGGAUGCUGGCAACUGUGAUGAAUGCAAUAUUUCUUCAAGCAACAAUGGAGAGUAUUGGCAUCCCAACCCGUGUUCAAACCGCUUUCCGCAUGUCAGAAGUAGCAGAGCCUUACAUAAGAAGACGAGCAAUUAGGCAUCUAGAAAAAGGAAGGGUUGUUAUAUUUGCAGCUGGAACAGGCAAUCCAUUUUUCACCACCGAUACUGCAGCAGCUCUUCGAUGUGCUGAAAGUAAGUAAGAGGUGAUUUCCGUUUUAAGUUUGCUCUAAUGAUUCAUUUAUCAUUCACAUCAUUAAAAAAAAAACCUUUUCGCAUUGGACACAGUUAAUGCAGAAGUAGUGCUGAAAGCAACAAAUGUUGAUGGAGUGUUCGACGAUGAUCCUAAAAGAAACCCAAACGCUCGCCUUCUCGACUCACUAACUUACCAAGAAGUAACCUCAAAGGACCUCUCUGUAAUGGAUAUGACUGCUAUCACUUUGUGCCAAGAAAAUAACAUCCCAGGUUUGUUUUCUAAAACACUCUCUCAAACCUCGAACCCCAUGAUCAUCUAAAAUACAACAAGAAUGCUUAUUUUGCAGUUGUGGUAUUCAAUCUAUCGGAACCUGGAAACAUCGCAAAAGCAAUCAAAGGAGAGAGAGUCGGUACAUUGAUAGGAGGAACUUGGAACUCUAUUGUUACAACUACUACAUGAAGGAUCUUCUCAAAACACAAACUUAUUAGAGUAUCUUAGGUCAGGAGAAUCUUAUAACUCCUGUAUAUAUAGUUUGCAGACAAGUUUUACUUUCUAGGAAUCUUUCUGAAAUUUUUGAAAGUUAAUUUUUAUACAUGAAGCUCAUUUUAAACCCUUUGGGCUACAUUGGAUAUUUGGAUAUGUCAAAAUACAUAAUACGUUAAAAUUACAGAGCAAAAUGAAAAAUCUAAACUUUUUCUCUAAGGAUCCCAGAUAUUUCUAAAGACAUCAGCAAAUGUUGGAGAAGCGACCAAACUAGCAAAACCAGGACUAUACAUUAAUCCCGCCGGCGAGAAUAAUCCCGGUGGUAUAGCCGGCGAAAACAUCCCACCUUGAUGAUACAUCGGAGAGAAUAUCCCGGCAGAAGCUGUUGCUAACAUCGCCGGAGAUGGCGAGAGUAUUCCCGGAGCAUAACCACCAAAUUCAGCUGCUUCUUCCAUAGUGAUUUCCACCGUCUCAUUUCUCGCAGCCGGUUCUUUUCCUCCUCUUGGACUAGCAUUCUCCGUCGACGCUAGCCUCGCCGCCGGUGAAACAUCUCCACCGCCGCCAGAUUCGAGGAAAACUCCAGAGGAGAUCCCUGUGAGUCGCUGGACGACGUUCAUGAACUCCGACGCGGUGGCGUGUACAACCUUGGGGGAUACGGCGUAGAUAACCACCGGCUCUCUAGGAAUAUACGGCGGAGGUUGGUCACGAUUUGGCGGCGGCGCAGGGUGUUUUGGAGGUUUCUUGAUUUUGUGAGAGUCUUUGUGGACACUAAGAGGUGAAGGACGAGGACCACAGAUCUGAAGCUGCCGCUUCUGGUUCUGUUGGUCAGAAGGAUUGCCGCCGGCAAAAUACUCCGACGGAUCCAUUAAAAUUUGGGAGUUUCUUCUCAGAAUCGAAUUUUGUUUGUGUUUGUUCUCUGUUUGGUUUUUGUGAAUUGAAUGUUUGGCGACUGAGAAAAUUGACCAAAACAACAAAAAAGAAGAAAAAAAAAAGUCAUCAGAACGAUUAGUUUGACUUUCAGAAAUGUUGACUUUUUGUGUCUCCAACCAAACUGUUACAGCACAUGCUCAAUUAGGAAACUCCCAUUCUUGUCUUAAUGUCUUAAAAAAUUACUAGGAAAGAUCUUAGGAAUCAACAUUAUCAACGGCACACAGUUNNNNNNNNNNNNNNNNNNNNNNNNNNNNNNNNNNNNNNNNNNNNNNNNNNNNNNNNNNNNNNNNNNNNNNNNNNNNNNNNNNNNNNNNNNNNNNNNNNNNGUAAAUCCACAAAAUUAUAAUAAUAAUUAAAAAAAAAUAAUGAUAAAAUAUUGUUAAAGUAAUUUAAUAGAUUUUACAAAAAAAAUUAAAAUCAACUUUAUUUUCUUUUUAUUAAUUUUGGAGCAAAAAUUUUUAAAUAAUUUCAAAAAAAAUUUUUACCCCAAUGAAAAUUGAAAAAAUAAGAUUUGAUAUCCAACUUACAUUUUAUCUAAACCAAUCUUAAUAGAUUAUUCUAUAUCAAAAAUACAAAUAAAAAUAUCAUUUUAAUUCAAAAUUAAAACACUACCGUUUAAAAAGUUUUAUCAAUGGAGGAUUUUAAGAUUACGUGACGAGAUGGAAGAGGAAUAUAAAUUAAAAAUCAAACUAAAUACUCAACUGGUAUGAGUUCGGGUUAUGAGCACUAUAUAAAAUAAAUUUAUUUACACACAUAACCAUACACGUACAUUUUCAAUUACACAUAUUCUAUUUAUGAUGGACACAGGACCAUAAUAUUUUUAUUUCAAGUAUACGAGACGGGUUAAGGGACGAAGAAUUUAUAACAGAUACAUGACGAAAUAGGUUUCCCGUUCUAAAAUAGUUACGCCUAGCUAAUAUAUAACAUAAAAACAACAAAAUAAUCUAUAUUGAAUUAAAAUUUGUUAUAAUUUUUUUAAAAAAUAUGAAACCCCGCACGUAUGUGCGGGUCAGGAUCUAGUUAAACAUUAAAACUGUAAGACGAAUGAUCGAUCCUUGACCAUUGGUACUAUCAUGAAAUAUUUCAAGAUUUUCAUCCUUUUCUUUUCUCUCGUGUUUGUUACUUUAAACUUUUCCUAGGAAUAUUUAAAAGAUUAAGCUUUAGUGUUACACAAUUUUACGUCGUUGAAAAGCAAGGAAUUUAAUUUCACUCUUCUAACAAUGUUAAUUAUAUGCAGUAAACUUUAAAACUUGAACCUGAUAAGAAAACUCAUAAAUUUUCAAGUCAUUGAAAUGAAAAUAGGAGUGCUUUGUGGUUCUUCACUUCUCUUCUAGGAUAUAAAUAUAUUUCUUUCAAGAGUAUCUAUAAAGGAUGACAAUAGAAGAUUCAAUAAUUAGUUCAUUCUCUUAAAUACUAUUUGAUAUUUUUUAUACAUGUGGAAAAGACAACUCCAUCCUUCACUAUAAUUAAACUAUUUAUUUUUAAUUUUUUUUUUCUUCCUUUCUUCUUCUCUUCACGAUUAUGUGCGGACCAAAAUCAAAUUUGUUUGGGUUUUGAUUAUGUGAAUACCAAAAUCAAAAUUGUGGUAGAUUCUGUGAUUUAUAGAUGGUAGUGGUGAUAAUGAUACCGGUGGCGAUAGAUGAUGAUGAUACCGACAGUGAUAAUUUUAUCGGCGGUGGUCGUAGUUGAAAUAUCGGUGGUAGUUUCAGUGAUUUACAGGUGGUGGUGGUGAUGAUGAUAUCGGUGAUGAUGGGUGAUGAUGAUAUCGACAGUGGGAGAAUGGGUUGUCGAUGGCAACAACCAUUGUUACAUUCUUCUGGGUUCAAUUUCAUAAACGGAUAACAAUUUCAUUAGCAACGUAUAUAAAAGGCUAACAUAUCUUAAACGUAACAAUUAUCUAUAUAUACAUUUUUGGAUGACUUUUAGCAAAUAAAUCCUAGAGUUGGAAUGUAUUUACAAUGGAAUGCCACUGGUGGGUCGGGUUUUUGUUUAUUUUUUGACCCGAAAUCGUUUUAAACGGAUCUUCCUUUAAUUUUGCACAAAAAAAAAAGACAUUAAAUGGUUGUUAUUAUUGAUUACACGUUUUGAAUUAAAGAUCCAUAUUUUAAACAAUUAGUUACUAACCAAUUAUUCCCCAAAUCUCUCAAUAUUAACUCGACUAUAUUUUGAAAAAUAUCUCAUCCGAGAUCUCAAAUCUCAUUUAAUUACUACCAACUUAACAUUUACGAUAAUCCUACUAACCAUAUCUACAACAAGAGAAUUAAAAUCAAUAAAUUAUUUACUCAUCUCCAAGUAAAACAUUAAAUAUAUUCGCCGGAUUAAAAAUAUUUGCUCUAAUCUUUUGCAAUAAUCUCGCAUCUUUCUUUUCAAAAUUUCGAUUAUUUAAUGUGAUCCCCCUAAUUACUCUCACGUAACAAAUCUUGGAAUCUAAUUAGUUUAAGAAAUUUCUAUAAAAAAUCUAAAUAGUAUCCUACAUUUCCGUUUUAAUACCUAUUUAAUAGUAUACAUGCACAUAUAAUAAUUACUAUCCAAAUGCGUUCUUUACAAAAAAAAAAUUUAUCGUUUAGAUUUGAUUUCAUUAUUUAUUAGAGAAAUUAUAUUCUAUCAACCCGAAAAUUACAAACAACUCUCUUAACACUAUAAAUAUAGUACAAUUUUGUUAUUCCUAUAUCAUUAGUUUAUCUACUAGCUGUNNNNNNNNNNNNNNNNNNNNNNNNNNNNNNNNNNNNNNNNNNNNNNNNNNNNNNNNNNNNNNNNNNNNNNNNNNNNNNNNNNNNNNNNNNNNNNNNNNNNNNNNNNNNNNNNNNNNNNNNNNNNNNNNNNNNNNNNNNNNNNNNNNNNNNNNNNNNNNNNNNNNNNNNNNNNNNNNNNNNNNNNNNNNNNNNNNNNNNNNNNNNNNNNNNNNNNNNNNNNNNNNNNNNNNNNNNNNNNNNNNNNNNNNNNNNNNNNNNNNNNNNNNNNNNNNNNNNNNNNNNNNNNNNNNNNNNNNNNNNNNNNNGAAAGAAAAGAACGUGGUAGAAGAGAUGAUGAUGACUAUGGCCCAUGCCGUGAUCGUGACCAUAAUAGGUGAUUGUUCUUGAAUUGGAAUCCUCUCUUUCAGUUUAGAGACUCCUUUCUCGAUUGUAUGGAAGGUACUGAUUUGGAUCAUUUUUGUUUUUUUCUAGGCUUACAGAUGCCCCCAACAAUAGAAGUAGUCGUCGGAUUAAAGUUAGAGUUUCAAUUUUUAGUUUUUUUUUUUAAAUUUGAUUUCAGUUUUUAUCAAUAUAUUGAAUAUUUAAAUAUAAAGCAGAAAUGUAUCAUACCUUCUUCUCCAUGCAUUUGAUGUUGUUUGCAUAUAAAAAAAAAUUGAGAAUCGUAAUACUAACACAUCAUAAAAUAAAUUUGUAAAGAGAAAAUGACAAUAUUAAAUUCUAAUUUUUAUUUUGACGGGUUAUACAAACAGAGAAAGAAGUGCAACAACGGAUAUUGAAUCUUUUAAUCUCUUUUGACACUUCUAAAUGUGUAAUUACAAUACUAUGUUACUGAAUUAUAUAUGUUCUACGGGUCAAACUUAAAAACAUCAAAAAUUUAUAUCAUCUAAUUUGAAUACUAUUUUUUAAAAAAAUUUAAACAUUGUUAAUUAAAGAAAUAAAAUAUGACCCCGCGGUGUACCGCGGGUUAAAUCCCAAUAUUAUCAUGAUAAAUGAAUACGCUAAUGUAUAAGUUAACGGAAAUAAUUAAAUUACUAAAGUAAAUAAACCGGUUAAUACAUAAGUUAGCUGAUAUAAUCAUAUAAUAAAUAUUUUAACACGAUAAAUAUUAGUUUACCAUGUAACUUAUAAACUUAUCGCGAUAUAAUAUGAUUUAUCGAAAAUUGAGUCAUAAUCGAAAAUUUGACCGAAACUAUUAUCUGAAAUUUAUGUCUCGUCGAUAUCUAUUUUGUUAUAACGGUAAACAAUUUGUUACAUGCGGAGGGGUAUUUUUGUCCAACUUAUACAAUUGAUGAGAGAGAACUAAUUAUACAAAAAAACAUGUAUAUAUUCUUAAUUUUUCAGUCAUCUGUGUAUUUAGAUUUAAUUGACCCUUCUUUCAAACCCAUUAAUCAAUAAGAAAUAAAAGAGUGUGAUUAUUAAAAUAUAAGAAAAUAUAUAUAUAUAUUUGUAGCUACUUGUUAAAUUAAAUGUAGUGCACUAAAUUGGUGUUCAAUUAAAUUUGAUUAAAUAAUACAUUUUCUUAGAAGUGUAUAUAUAUAACAUAUGUUAAAAUCUUAAAGACAUUAUGAUAUGUAUCAAAAUCUUAGAAAUAUAUUUAGAAUUUAGUGAAACUUAUUCGUUUUUGUAUGACAAGAUAACAUUAAAUAUAGUGAAUUAUUUGGGGUAUUGUCAAAAAUUAAAAUAUCAAAACAGUGUCGAACUAAAAACGGCCAAGAUUCAUUAGUAAAAUUACAUUGGAACCAGACCUUAUCUUCGCAAACUCAAACGCCGUAUUCGCCGGCGACGAUUCUCUACUGAAUAUAUCAGUAAAUCAUCUCUUCUUAGAUCUCUCCGGCAAUGGCAAUUCCGUUGCCUCUCACCUCUUGCUCGCCAAUCUCAACUUCUUCUUCUAUUUCCCGAACCUCCUUCGUCCCUCUCACACCUCGCAAUCGUACUUUCUUCUCCAACCAGAAUUGCAGCAGGCGUGUACUUAUCAGCUGCUCUUCUUCAGACAAUGGUUCAUCUCCAGAUUCCAUGAACGGAAGCGGGAACGGGAGGUAUUAUUGAUCUUCAAUUUAUAACAGUAUGCACACCAGGUGUUUGUGGAAAUUCGUCAAUGAAAACACUUUUGGGUUUAGGGUUUAAGACUUUAUUGAAAUAUAUUGCAAAUUUGAUUUUUUAUUGUUUUGGUUGAGGUAAAUCUUAACCCAUUUAUGAAGUUUGGAACUUUGGCUGCUUUUGUUAAAACUCUGUUGCUAUCAUCUGUAAUUUUCAGUAGCUUAAACGGGCAGACAUCUUUUCCACGAAUGCCUUCCUUUGAUGGAGCAUCCAAACCACCGCUUAAAUGGAGAAGGGUUUUACUCAAAGUCAGUGGAGAAGCUCUUGCUGGAGACGAGGAACAAAAUAUCGAUCCAAAGGUUUUUGUGAUGCCAAAAAAAUAAAAACACCUCCUUGUUUCUGCUUUUUUUGUUUACUGUUUCCUUCUUCAGAAGUCUCAUCCAGUUUCCCAUUUAUUAGGUUACUAUGGCGAUUGCAAGGGAAGUUGCAGCAGUGACUCGACUUGGCAUUGAGGUUAUUCUCGAAACGCUUCAUCCAAACAUUUUUGUUCUAGUUGUAAUUGUGUUUACUGUGACCAUGGAUUCAACACUUCUUAGUUAUCAGGCAUUAAGCUUUGAGUCUUUCCUAGACGGGUUGAUUGACAAAGUAUGAUAAGUGCAAUUUCUUAGUACGUGAAGUAUUUGAUGAUUGCUUGUGUAGAAGUAACCAAAUAGGCUGAAAGUCAAUUAACUCAAACUUACAAGAAACGGGAGCUUAAGUUAAGGGGUGGAGAUUUAUGGGAUUACACAAGCUAAGAUUAGAAAUUUAUUAUGCUCUAAACAUGCUAUACGUGCAACGGAUGAUGGGUCUGGGUCAUUGAGAAUACUCAUUGAAAUGUUGUGUGUGCUGUGCUCUGUCUUGAUCUUCUUACGCCUUUACAAUAGGUUGCAAUUGUUGUUGGAGGAGGAAAUAUCUUUCGUGGAUCUACCUGGGCUGGGUGCAGUGGCCUUGAUCGCUCCUCUGCUGAUUAUAUUGGGUAAUCAUAUGCACUCUUGACUCUGGUGCCACUCAACUCUGUUUUUCUGAACUUUUACGCCUUUGUGUCAAAUGAUCUUGUUCUUGCCUUUCGUGUCAAAUGAUCUUGUUCUUCUUACUUGGAGAAGAUCUAGAAUUUUCCCCUAUUGGAGGUUUUUGGUUACAUUGGUUUAUCUGAAAUUUGAUAGGAUGCUGGCAACUGUGAUGAAUGCAAUAUUUCUUCAAGCAACAAUGGAGAGUAUUGGCAUCCCAACCCGUGUUCAAACCGCUUUCCGCAUGUCAGAAGUAGCAGAGCCUUACAUAAGAAGACGAGCAAUUAGGCAUCUAGAAAAAGGAAGGGUUGUUAUAUUUGCAGCUGGAACAGGCAAUCCAUUUUUCACCACCGAUACUGCAGCAGCUCUUCGAUGUGCUGAAAGUAAGUAAGAGGUGAUUUCCGUUUUAAGUUUGCUCUAAUGAUUCAUUUAUCAUUCACAUCAUUAAAAAAAAAACCUUUUCGCAUUGGACACAGUUAAUGCAGAAGUAGUGCUGAAAGCAACAAAUGUUGAUGGAGUGUUCGACGAUGAUCCUAAAAGAAACCCAAACGCUCGCCUUCUCGACUCACUAACUUACCAAGAAGUAACCUCAAAGGACCUCUCUGUAAUGGAUAUGACUGCUAUCACUUUGUGCCAAGAAAAUAACAUCCCAGGUUUGUUUUCUAAAACACUCUCUCAAACCUCGAACCCCAUGAUCAUCUAAAAUACAACAAGAAUGCUUAUUUUGCAGUUGUGGUAUUCAAUCUAUCGGAACCUGGAAACAUCGCAAAAGCAAUCAAAGGAGAGAGAGUCGGUACAUUGAUAGGAGGAACUUGGAACUCUAUUGUUACAACUACUACAUGAAGGAUCUUCUCAAAACACAAACUUAUUAGAGUAUCUUAGGUCAGGAGAAUCUUAUAACUCCUGUAUAUAUAGUUUGCAGACAAGUUUUACUUUCUAGGAAUCUUUCUGAAAUUUUUGAAAGUUAAUUUUUAUACAUGAAGCUCAUUUUAAACCCUUUGGGCUACAUUGGAUAUUUGGAUAUGUCAAAAUACAUAAUACAAAAAAAUUACAGAGCAAAAUGAAAAAUCUAAACUUUUUCUCUAAGGAUCCCAAAUAUUUCUAAAGACAUCAGCAAAUGUUGGAGAAGCGACCAAACUAGCAAAACCAGGACUAUACAUUAAUCCCGCCGGCGAGAAUAAUCCCGGUGGUAUAGCCGGCGAAAACAUCCCACCUUGAUGAUACAUCGGAGAGAAUAUCCCGGCAGAAGCUGUUGCUAACAUCGCCGGAGAUGGCGAGAGUAUUCCCGGAGCAUAACCACCAAAUUCAGCUGCUUCUUCCAUAGUGAUUUCUACCGUCUCAUUUCUCGCAGCCGGUUCUUUUCCUCCUCUUGGACUAGCAUUCUCCGUCGACGCUAGCCUCGCCGCCGGUGAAACAUCUCCACCGCCGCCAGAUUCGAGGAAAACUCCAGAGGAGAUCCCUGUGAGUCGCUGGACGACGUUCAUGAACUCCGACGCGGUGGCGUGUACAACCUUGGGGGAUACGGCGUAGAUAACCACCGGCUCUCUAGGAAUAUACGGCGGAGGUUGGUCACGAUUUGGCGGCGGCGCAGGGUGUUUUGGAGGUUUCUUGAUUUUGUGAGAGUCUUUGUGGACACUAAGAGGUGAAGGACGAGGACCACAGAUCUGAAGCUGCCGCUUCUGGUUCUGUUGGUCAGAAGGAUUGCCGCCGGCAAAAUACUCCGACGGAUCCAUUAAAAUUUGGGAGUUUCUUCUCAGAAUCGAAUUUUGUUUGUGUUUGUUCUCUGUUUGGUUUUUGUGAAUUGAAUGUUUGGCGACUGAGAAAAUUGACCAAAACAACAAAAAAGAAGAAAAAAAAAAGUCAUCAGAACGAUUAGUUUGACUUUCAGAAAUGUUGACUUUUUGUGUCUCCAACCAAACUGUUACAGCACAUGCUCAAUUAGGAAACUCCCAUUCUUGUCUUAAUGUCUUAAAAAAUUACUAGGAAAGAUCUUAGGAAUCAACAUUAUCAACGGCACACAGUUAUAUAUGUAUUAAUGUUUUCAAUCAUUAACAUACAAGAGUUUAAGCAUGUAAACAAACUCACUUAUUUAUUAAACUAGAAAUAGGCCCGCGCGAUGCGCGGGUUUAUAUAUUAGAAAAUAGUAUAUGAGUUUGUGUAAAAAAUAAUUAUCAAUUUAAGAUUUUUUUAAUGUUUUUAUUUAUGUGGUUGAUGAUGAGACUGGUUGAUGAUACAUGUAUUUUUCUAAUUGUUUCUAAAUUGUAAUUGUGCUUAAAUUCAUAUUAUUAGAUAUUAUUGUUGUUUUUUACUUUCAUCGUGACUAAUAUCAUUGAUUUGAUUUUUUUUUUUAAAUUUCUAUGUUAUCUCGAUUGUUGUAAUUAAUUAUAAAAUUAAAUUUAUUGUGAUUUAUUCUCUUAUAUAUAUAUCAGAUACUUUAUCUUUUUAAUUAUUUUCAUUGUGUGUUUUCAUAGCACCUAAUUUUUUUUUUUCAACCACAUUGACUAUUUCUUCUUUCACAUUUUUAAUAUACCAAAUGUUGUUGGAAAUCUAUGGAUAUUAUCAUCCAUUUCUGAUAUCUAUAUGCAUAUUUUUAUUUUAACAACUCUUCAUUUUAGAUUUUUGCUUAUUUUGAUUUUUAUUUUGUUGCAGCUGUUUCUAGUAUGGUAAUCUUGUUAAUCUUGAAGUACUCGAGUUUGGAGAUGAAUCAUGUAGAAAAGAACAUCAAAAGUGAAGAUUAACACCAAAAAGAACAGCAAACUUCCAAUGAAUACAUUUUUUCUUCUAAUCUCCAACGCUUCUGAAUUUUACUAAUAUACAAUGAAUUUUUCUAAAUUUUUAAUUGGUAACAUAAAUUUUGUACUUUACUACUAACAAAUAUAUUUAGAAAUUAUAAAUAAAUAUUCUAUUUUAAAAAUAAAUUACUACUUAUUCUAAGUAAAAUGAAAUUAUCUUACUUUAUAUUUAACCAUUAUCUUUUCAUAUUUUUAAAUAUUUUUAUCGGUAACAGAAUUUUCGACUUUAACACUAUUUUUAAAAAAAUUUAAAAAUUUAUUUUUCUUUAAAAGUAAAUCAUUUCUUAUUUUGUGUAAAAUUGAAAUGUGUACUUGUAUAUUUAUCUUAUUUUUUAUCACAUAGUUUUGUGUGUUGUAUUAUAUUACUUUUUAUUUAUAUUAAAUUCUGUUAUUGUUUAUGAAAAAAUAUUUUCUUUUAUUAAAAGACGAUGAUAUAAAAGUUAUAUAUGAAUUAAUUUUUUUUUAAUGUUUCUUGUUUAAAAAAAUAAAUUAUGUGGAACUUGUAUAAGGUAAUAUAUAUAGUUUAUAUUUUGUUAUGUUUUGUCAUUAAUGUUUUAAUGUUUUGACCAAUGAAAAAAUUAUAAAAUAAGUGGUAAUUUUGUUAUAAACUAAAUGCAUAAGCUAAUGGGUUCGAAUCUUUUUAGUGACAUUUUGUACAUAUUAAAAAUUUAUGAUGACGUGUAUGCUGAUGUGUCACUGAUGUGGACACCCUAAGAGGAGAGAAAACUCUCCUAUUAUAUAUAUAGAUUUAUUUAAAUGUCUUUGUGCUCAUAGAAAAGUCACUUAUUUUCAAGUUUAAUAUCUCAGCCAUUAAAAAAAUCUACUACUAGAACAACUCCUUAAGACUUUUUUUUUGCUUCCACUAUAGAUGUAUUUGAGUUUCUUUAUUUUUCUUUCAAAGAAUUGUUUUUUUUUUUAAAUUUAAUAAAAGGUUUUCCAAAGAAUUGCUUGUUUUGAUUAUGGUAAAUUAAUAUAGAUCUAUCCAUGUAAAACAGGAAAUUUGUAGUAACAUGGUCAUCUAUCCAUGUAAAUCAUCUUUUUCACUGGCCCGAUAGUCCUCUAGGAAGCACUUGAUCCCUUAUUCGAACUUCGAAGGAAUCUUUAAUGUUCCUCAAUUAUUUAUUUACUAAGCUCACGAAAUCAUCUAAAAAUGUCACAAACCAGUGUCUAUUUUCAUUUUACUUUCCGAAUUUUAGCAAGCCUAUAUAAGAAAAGAAUUUGUGAGUUUCUAUUUAUUUUAUAACUACUGAAACAAAUUUGUAAAAUAACCCACUAGUAACGUGAUUACUAUUGAGGAAGUUAUGGGCUUCUAUUGAGUUAGAUGGAUCUCAAUAUGUAAUUACUUGGCCCAUAAGUUAUUGUUGUACAAAGCUAUUAGGUCAAACGUGUGUAUUAUGUAUAAAAGCCACAUUGGCCGUAUCAAUAAGAUUAAGAAAACCUUUACACAAAUUAAGUGUUCAAAUUUAGGUUUACACGUACGUAACUUUUUUUUUUUUUUGGUGCAAAAACACGUAUGUAACUUAUUCAAGAUUAUGUAUAGUUUUACUAAUCAUAUAUACUAUUUGAUAAGAAAAUUUUAUGUUUAUGUAAUUUUGUUGUCUUAUAUUUACCAUAAAUAGCGAAAUAGUUGAAAACUCAUAGAAUGAUUCCAAAGAAACAAGUCCAAAACUCAGAGAAUGAUUCCAAAGAUACAAAUAGUAAUUUUUGUCUUUUGAUUACACAAUAUGAUAAAACGUAGAUACUAUAGUGUUAACCUUAACCGGAUUGAACCAAAGUGUAUAAAAUCCCAAAAAUGUUGUGGUUCAAAUUGAAACGAGUUAGCUUAUUCGAGUUCUUGCGGGUUGUCGUAGAAGAUGACUCUGGCAUGGUCGUUUAGGAACCUCCCCGCCAUUGUCGUCGGGUAAUGCAGAGGAGGCGGCGAAAACUUAGCAAUCAUGGUUUGGCGCCAUUUCGAGGUUCGUAUGGGGGGCUGCGACGUACAUUGGCACUCUUCACAAUGUUGUACCACCGCCGCCAAACACCACGAGUGCUGUAACCGAGAUCGAGUGUAGACUCCGCCGUUUUGUCGUAGUCAAAAUACGAAAAACCAAAUCAGAGAUUGAGCAUGUAAACAAACAAAUUAACAACUAGUCUAUUAAUAAUUUGUUUAUUGGUCUAUCAAUAAUUUGUUUAGUUUGUCCGAUUAUAAAUGCAAACAUUUCAAAAUAAAUUGGCAUUGUUCCUAAAAAAAAAUAGAGAAAAAUAUGAAACUAACAAACAAAAAAAUCAUCACAUUUCACUUGCGAUUUAAUUUUCUUAAACCUCAAUCCAACUUCCUUUUUCACGAGGAAUAGCUUAUCUAAAAAUUAAAAAAGAAGAGAGAAAACUUCGUACAAAAAAAUAGAGAAAAAGUUAGCAUUUGAAACUAACAAACAGUAAAGGAUCCAGAAAAUAUUUUAACCAGGUCAAUAUAUUGAAAAUUAUCAAAGUAAAAUUAAUUUUUUAUUAAAAAUGAAAAAAAAAAAAUGAAUAAAAAUAGGAGUUAGAUGAAGUUGAACUCAGGUUAAGGGGGUCAAUAUUAUAAACUUUAACCAAAUUAGCAAAAUAAUCUUAUUGAUCUAAGCUUGAAAAAUUUUAAUUAUAUAAUUUAAGGUGGUUCAAGUAACACCCCUUCUUCUCACGUGAGUCCGCUAGUGCUAACAAACGAAAAAAAAUCUCAUAUUUCACAUGCCUCAACCCAACUUCUAUUUUCACGAGGAAGACUUUGUCUAAAAGAUUUUAAAAAAAAGAAGAGAAAAAAGUUCUUACAAAAAAAUUAGAGAAAACAUUGCAUAUGAAACUAAGUCAAUAAAAAAUCUCACCUUUCACAUGAGAUUUGACUUGCUUAACCCUCAAUGGGGCUUUCUCUAAGAGAUUAAAAGAAGGAAGGAAGAAGAUAUACUAGUUAAAAUUUGCAUAAAACAAACAAACACAAAAGUUCUCACCUUUCACAUAUAUAUAUAUAUAUAUAUAUAUAUAUAUUUACAUAUACUAAUUUGUAUGUGUAUUUCUAAAAGAAAUGAACUAUGUUUUCCUAAUCCAAAAAUAAAAGAUUGAAAAAUCAUUUUCCUGAAUAAUCUUACAUGCAAUUCAUAUAGCUACAUAUCAAAUUUUCUAUUUUUAAUUUUCAUAUAUAUUAAAAGAAAAACCAAAAUGUCGUGAUAUGAGUGUCGUCUCAAUCCUUGGUAAAACAAAACCAAUAAAAAAAAAUUAAACUCUCUUACUAAAAAAAAAUUCUAAAAAUGGACUCUUUUUCUUUACUAAAUUUUUUGAAAAUGAUUUUUGCUUCGAUGGCAAAUGUCUAUGUUGCUUAGAGAUAGAAACAUGCCUAUGAGAGUAUAAAUGGUCUUCCACUCUUUUGGUAAAUAGCCAAAGCAGAAACAGAUGAAUUAAUCUUCAAAGUUUUAAUCAAUCUAAACAGAUGAAUUAAUCUUCAAAGUUUUAAUCAAUCAAAGUUAUAAUUGAUCUAUGUGCAAUGUUCUUGUAAAUUUCAAUAUGGUUUUCCGUCUAGAUUAUGUGUACGUCCUAUGUGGUAAGUUGUUUAUUUAUAGAUAAAUCCGUGGUUUACAAAAAAAAAAAAAAAAAAAAAAUAGAUAGUUAAAUCCGUUAUAGACAACAAUCGUCCUAUAUGGUAAAUUUCAGUAUACCGUAUUUGUAUUCGUCUAUUAUAAAUGUUAUCCUCAAACGAAUACGAUAUAUGGUGUAAUAGACGACUAAUAAAACUCCUAUCAUUUUAUUAUAUCGCAUAAAGUAUCAUAAAAUAUUCAUUCAAUCUGGAAAACUUACGUGUAUAUAUAGAUUCCUAUACUAUUCAAAAGGAUAAUCUUUUUCGUGUCUUUACAAAGUAUGUAGUAUGCUUUAUCUUAUAACUAAAACAGAAUAAGUUGCAAAUCAAAUGUUGAAGCAAGUACCAUUCAAAUCAAAAUUCGAACAAAGGAUAGAAUGUAUAAAAAAACGGGUGGGUGUGAGAGAGGCAUGAACAUGAAAUGUUGCAACCUCCUCAAACAAGCAAGAAAUUAAAAGUAAAUUUAUUUAAAGGUACUAGUUUACAAGACCUUACGAUUUUUCGUUUGUCACUUCAAUCGAAGGAACCUUAUUCCUUUAUUUUGGUUUAGUAAUAAGCAAAAUUGUAUAACCAUCCAUUUAACUCAUAUUAAUACAACUUUUAGUCAGAUUCAGUGAACCAUACUUUAACUUAAUCUACUACACGAAACUGUCAUUUGAAUUCUUUCGUACCAAAAGUAUCUAGUCACACUAUAGAGUUUUAUUUAUAGCCUUAACUACCAAAUCAAACUAAUCAGAUAAUAGUCACUCGAUUCCUUUCCCUACCAUCUCAUCUUAUUACAAACUUACAAAACGAUUCUAUAAUCUAUUGGUUUUGUUUUAUUCAAAUAUUUUAUAAACUAAGAAAGAAUGAUUCGAAUUGCAAAUAUUUUAAGUACAUUUCCAUCUUUAAACCUUCUUUACUGUUUCAAAAUUGUGUUUUGGAACACAUACGCUACAAAUUUGAAACAAAGAAAGAUAAAUGGCCUUAAAUCAUACAAUAAAAUGUCUCAAAUAGUUGAUGAGUUAAAAUCGUAUUAUUCUCAAUUAUCACAAGGUAAAAAAAACGAGAAUUAUAAUUUUGAAUAUUAGUAAAAUUGACAAAAUUUCUCUUAUGAUUUACAACAUGUACUAGGUUCAAAAUAGUUUGAUGAUAAGAAUUACUUGUAUCAUUUUAUUUAAGAUAAAAAAUAAUCAAAAAGGCAUAAUAUGAGUAGUCUUGGUCUCGUAAGCAGACAAAGCAGAUGAAUUAAUCUUCAACACUUUAAUCAAAUCUUUCGCCAUUUGUCUCACCAUCGCCGAGCAGUUGCUCUGUAUCACCACUAAAAGCUUCGUCACUCCGUUACUUCUCUCCACCGUCUCCUCCGCCGUCUUAUCUUCCCUGAAUACAUAACACAAACACCACAGAAUCGUCACGGCAUGUUCCGUCGCCGUCGUAGAUACUUUCAACAACUUCUUCACCACUCCUUCCACACAUCUUCCAUUAUCUUCUCCACAAAUCUCCAAUCUUCCUUCUCGUUUCGACGACAGAGUCUCUAACAGCUUCAGAGACUUCUCCGUGACGGCGACGUUUGUUAACGUCUCCGUCAUAAGAAUGUCUUUGAUCUUCGUGAUUGUUUUCGCAGCGAUUAGUUUCGAUCUCACUCGUUUCGAUUUCGAGAUUGUGAUUAGAAACGAUAAACUCGCUUCGAUCAAACUCGGAUCUGACUCAGUGAUACUGAUUGAUUUGAUCAUCUCUGUUAUAAUCCCGUCGCGUUCUGCGAUUAAGAGCUUCGAUUUAGCGUCGAAUGAGAUCCAAUCCAAAACCCUAACGGAUUCAAUCUUCGAUUCCAGAUUCCCGCGUUGAAUCGCUAAGAGAAUCGCCGUUAAACAAUCUCCGUCGUCAUUCGCCAACAUCAGAUUCGAUAACCGUUCACGAUCUCCUUUAACCGUAUCCAAAAUCCUAAUCGCCAUUAGAACUAACUCGAUCUUCUUCGUCUUCGUGCGUAUAAUAUCAACGAGCAUUGGUACGAACUCCUUCAUCGCCGAGAGAAACUCUCUGUUCGAAUCCGAAUCCUUCACGAAUCGAACGAUCCUGGACAAUAUCUCAAUCCGAGUCUCAUCGUUUUUCUCCAGACUCAUCAAUCUCUUCAGCAACACAUUCACUUCUUCAACCGUCGGAACUUCUCUACCAGACGGUGGCGGAGAACCAGCGGUGUUGUAACGGCCGAUGGAAUCAGACCAGAUUUUGAUAAGGCGUUGAAGAGUGAGGUUAGGAACAAAAUCCUUAGUUUUGAGAAGUUGCAUAGUAGCGGGACAAGUGUUGUUACCACCAUCGAGCCAUCUCUGAAUACUGGCUCGAUCAUAAGUAACGCCGGUGCAGAGACUAACCGGAGAUCUCAUAACGUCUAGAGAUAUAGGACAUUUGAAGAAACUUGGCACUGUAAUGUACGUCUCAGUUUCAUCUCUCCCCAUCAGAGAAAAAAAAAACAAAAGAGUCAGAGAAAAUCUGGGCGAGAAAAUGCGGGAAAGUGUUUGGGGGAAGGAAGAUGAUGCUAAUUGCUAAGUGAAAGGUGAAGAGAGAAAGUGAGUGGAGGUGGGUUUAAAGAGAGAGAGAGUCAAACGCACGCUUGCGUCACUGGUUUUUAACCUAAUUAAUUUUUUUGAAUAAUAGUAUUCCCAAGUGUUGUAUUAAAUGUGUUAAUGUUGAUGACAAGUCAGUAAUUAAAGAUUGAAAGAUUCACCUAAAAUUCUGGUCAUGGGUCAAAAAUCAAAGAACGUUUCAUUGAGUCUGUGGUUUUCGGGUCAAGUCGUAACCGUUAGAUGUGUUGUUGAUGGGAGGACUUUGACCAACGCUGACGAUCUUUUAUUUAUGCUUACACGUGUGAGUUUGGAGGCCAGAAGCGUGUGGGAUUGGUGGGACAUGUUCUCUGCACGAGUGGCCUAUUUUGGUCUCGUCGAGAGCACAUGGCGUUGGUCCAUGUUAUGUCCUGUUUUUAGUACAUGAAAGUUGUAUAAUGAAAUUAAAGAACAAAUGAUUACAAAAGCAAUGUUAUAAUAUUUGUGUUACUUAAAACAAACUCCGAGUCAGCAAAUGUGGUACAGAUAUAUGAGUUUGGUCAUGGGCGAAUAAUAUUUUGACAUUUAUAUUUUGCGUUGCUUUUUUUUUUUUGUUAGGCUAUAUUUUGCGUUGUUUAUGUUUAAUGUUGUUGAUAAAUAAAUUGUGUUGUGGCUUCCACUAAGGAGAAAGAGAAUUUGAUAAUUUUAUUAUUCGAGCGAAGGUGUUUUUGAUUCGGGGGAAAAGCAAAAGCGGUUUUUUUUCUCUCCGGAUUGUCAUCUUCUGGUCAUUAUAAUGUUUGGUAGAUAAACUUAACUUUUUUUUUUUGUGAUGAGCAAUAACGUAUAUACAAUUAUAAAAGUAUUCGAAGAUACAUAACAUUUUAGUUGUCUGAAAAGUAUAAUUUAUAUAUUCUGGUUGGGACUGUCUUAUUGUUUAAUGAAGAAGAUGUAUAUAUUAACUGGCUAGCCGAUUUGGGGGUUGUAUUAGUUAUAUAUUAACUAAGUUAUAUAUAAUUCAAAUUCAAUGGAUUUGAGUUUGGUCCAUAUUGUUUUAUUUAGUCAUUGCUUUAGUUGCUCACGGUUGUGCCAUUUUGUAUAAAUAUAGUACAUAUGUUUGGAUGAUAAAAUAAGGGUGGGGGUGCUUUGCAUUUAGUAAUACAUAAGUUUAGAUGAUUAGAUUUAGUUCUAGUCUAGUUUAUACAUACGUAUAGUUUCUUACUUUGUAUUUAAGAAAAUAAACAAAUUUGGAUUUUCUGGUCCGUAAAUGAUAAAAGCACAAGGUGAUGACCGAAAGUUGUUGGCCUAAUAGUAAAAUCAAACUUAGGUGUUGAAAAUUUCAGUUUUUAGAGGUGAGAGGUUAUAGGAUGAAAUGCUUGCUGACUCGUGAAUCAUUUAUUUUGAAUAUUUUGUGACAAUAAGUUCUUAUAGUUAGGUUAACUUUCAAUAAGGUUUAGCAUUAUUAAACGGGUAAGAUCAUAACUAAUUGCCGUUAAAGAGAACAUCGAUCUACCACUUUAGUUGAAGAUAUAGCACGUCCGUGUAUUUAAGUGAAAUGAAUGGUAAUUAAGUAUAGCAUUUUAUUAGAACUUGUUUUCCUUCUGGAUUUAUUUGUUGUUUAUAAUCAUUCUUAUAUAUGGCAGGUAAAUGAAUUGAGUAUAUGUACAUAUUAACUCGUGUCGUGAGCAUAUAAUCGAUAGUUGGGUAUAUAAUAGGGUAAAUUGCACCGAAAGGAAAUAAAACUAUAAUGAUGCCAACGUGCAUCAUUGUCUACAAUUAGCGCAAUUAUGCCAAAUCGGAAAAAAAUCUACGCCAAUUUCUACUAUCUCACCUUUUAAUAAAUUACCUCACUCAUCAUCUGAUCCAUCCAUUAUUGUUCUUGGUGGACAAUAAUUUUCAUUUGUCCUCAUAUGUAAGGAUAGUUUUUGGGAACUUUAAUUUUCUCUUUUUUCUUUUUGCAACAAAUGUAUAUAUAAUCGAGGGAAUAUGUAAUUCUAAUAAACAAAAGAAAAAAUAAUGUAUACCCGCAGAAAUAUACUAAUGCAUGGUUAAUGAGAAACAAGAUUAUACGUACGUCCUAUUUUUUUAUCUUUCUAGUAUCGUCAUUUGAUAAUACAUAUCAAUCUCAUAGAAACGUGAAACUUAAAAACUUAUUUUAUUGUUUUUUGAUCAAACCAUAAAUGUAUACCAUGGAAGUAUGUAACUAGCUCAUCCGAGAAUGAUGUUAUUCGUUACUAGUUAAUACACAUGAAUCAUGUGACAUGAUCGAUGACUAUAUAUUUGUUUACCGUGAGAAUAAAUCAAUAAAUAUAAGGAUUUAACGUACUCAGCGAACAUUAAAAACUUUUAGUCUGAAUAAAUAACUUUUAGAGUCUAGUUGUUAAAUGGCAAAGAUAUCCGAAAAAUGGCAAAGAUAAUUCUGUAUGAGGCAUAUUCAAUGUUAGUUCUCCGGAAAAACGGUCUAUUUUCCCACGAGAACUAUGACAUCAUAACAGAUAGAGCCCAAUCUAUGACCACGAUCUAAAUAUCCCCGAGAAAAUACUUGUCAACCUAUAUCUCCUCGAAUCGAUAGUUCUCAUCUAUUUCUCCAUAAAUUUGGAUUUACUCGGUUUACGACCUAAACCGACAUCAAACCACCCCAAAACCAACAUUAAACCGAAUUAAUGAAAUCAAGCAAAACUGAAACAAAAUUAUGUAUCAUGUUGCCGGAAUUGACAAUCGAGAGCUUACAGAUGUAGCUGAGUAAUUUUGAAAGCUAAUGGCAAAGGAGGAAAUCACCGGAAAUUACAUCUGACGUUUCGUCUAGGAAUAGACACGACUCAUGUUUUGGGCGUAGGAAUUGAAAGCGUCUGGUCGAGAGGACGUUUUUGCUCUUGGACGAAUGGGGAUCUCGCAAAGGCAGGGGAUUCCUCAGACUCGUCAGAAGAAAUCUCCGGAAAUUGAAGAGAUUCUGGUCGGAUUCACAUCGGAGUUCACCAUUGAAGUAGAGAGGAAGGUUUCGGUUUUUAGGUGGAGAAAUCGAGAGAAUAAUUGAGAGAAGCUAUGACUACCAAAGAGGGUCAGUGGGGAAGCCAUAGCUGGAGAAUGCCAGCUGAGAUAAAAAAAAUUUGCAUCUCUUGAAAUCGCGAUCGAGAGAGGCACAAAGGAUUACAAGGUUCGAUAGCUUUCGGUUCGCCAGUGGAGGUUGCGGCUCGGUUUCACCAGAGUUGCAGAGGGGUCGCCGGAAUUUGACUCUGUCUCCAUUGGAGAGAUAAAGUUGUGUUUGAAAUUAGGGAUUUUAAGGUUGUAUCGAGGCAUGUGGAAAGAGAUUGGGAAGAGAAUAGAGCGUUGAGGUGGAGUGAAUGAGUGAGAUACAUCGAGUUUGUGAUUGGUUGAUGAACCUGGAGAUGGAGAGGUCACAUGGUGGUGGUGAGGAGGUGGAGGAAGAGGAGGAGAUGAAAGGCAGAUCCGCCAUUGACGUAAGUGGUGGUGAUGCGUGAGUAAUUGUUUGGUUUGUGAACUUUAAGAAAUUGGUUCGGUUUGGGUUUAAAUCCGGUUAUGUUGUUGUAAUUGGUUUAAGUUUGGUUCAGUAUUGUAUUUAGGUGGUUAAAAAUUGUUUGGUAAAUUGUAAACCAAAAUCUGUGGGUAAAUUAGGUGAAAACUAUUAUUUUAUGGAGAAAUAGAUGAAAACUAUCGAUUGGAAAAACGGUCUAUUUCCCCACGAGAACUAUGACAUCAUAACAGAUAGAGCCCAAUCUAUGACCACGAUCUAAAUAUCCCCGAGAAAAUACUUGUCAACCUAUAUCUCCUCGAAUCGAUAGUUCUCAUCUAUUUCUCCAUAAAUUUGGAUUUACUCGGUUUACGACCUAAACCGACAUCAAACCACCCCAAAACCAACAUUAAACCGAAUUAAUGAAAUCAAGCAAAACUGAAACAAAAUUAUGUAUCAUGUUGCCGGAAUUGACAAUCGAGAGCUUACAGAUGUAGCUGAGUAAUUUUGAAAGCUAAUGGCAAAGGAGGAAAUCACCGGAAAUUACAUUUGAUGUUUCGUCUAGGAAUAGACACGACUCAUGUUUUGGGCGUAGGAAUUGAAAGCGUCUGGUCGAGAGGACGUUUUUGCUCUUGGACGAAUGGGGAUCUCGCAAAGGCAGGGGAUUCCUCAGACUCGUCAGAAGAAAUCUCCAGAAAUUGAAGAGAUUCUGGUCGGAUUCACAUCGGAGUUCACCAUUGAAGUAGAGAGGAAGGUUUCGGUUUUUAGGUGGAGAAAUCGAGAGAAUAAUUGAGAGAAGCUAUGACUACCAAAGAGGGUCAGUGGGGAAGCCAUAGCUGGAGAAUGCCAGCUGAGAUAAAAAAAAUU